rnacentral:lncRNA from 1 species
CCAGUAUGCCACAUGAAACGUAGGGACUAUUGACGUAUUCAUAUUUCGUAGUGAUUACUUAUGCCAUGCAUGGUAUAAUUCGUAUGCAAUAUUGAUAUAUACAUUUGUAGGCAAAAAUUAUAGCUGGAAGGUGGGUCACCCAACUUCAAAAAACAUGAAGCCAUCAAACAAGUACAAAUCAUAAUCUAAUGUUCUAAUCUAAGGAAAAACACUACUUUAAGUUAAUAAAGCUACAAAAUCGGUGACCUAUUUUAAAAUUCUCACUCUCUAAAUUUCUCAACCAAUCUCAUUAACUUCUUAGCAGCUCAAUUGUUUCAUUUAUUGAUAAAGAGUGAGUGAGAGAGCUAACUAGGGUCAUAUUCAUAUAGCUUUAAAGACUACCCCUUCUUUUCCUGUAAAAUUAGGUGAGCAGUUUAGAUAGAUAGAUAGAUAGAAAGAAAGAAAGAGAAAGUGGUACAUACGCGUAGACUGUUUCUGGUUUUAGGUUUAGACUCAUGAGGAGAGAGACUUGGAUCUGGUUUCCUAAAAGCAGUUUAAUUUCUCUCGCUGGUUGAUGUUAAAUUCUCAACGAACUCUGCCAGCAUUUAAUGUAAAAGGGUCAGAUAGUUAGUAGACUUGGCUAAAUGAGAGAGAAAGUCUCAAGUCUCAACAACAAAACAAAGAAACAAACAUACAUAGUACUAUAGUAGUAAUACAGAUACAGAGAGAAAUAAAAAUUUAAAGUGUGAGUGAAAAGAAAGAGAAGGCAGUCAGUAGUGCGUGUUUGAUUGUGUCUUGUGAGAGAGAGUUGUGAGAGAGUGUAGUGAGAGAGAGAGAGAGAGUGUGAGGUGGUGGUGGAAUUCAAGAACAGUCUGGCCCCUUAUUUAAUGCUUCUCAUUGUCAAUUCUUUCUUUCUAUAAAUCCACUUCUCUUCCCUUUUUCUUCCUCUAUUCUCAUCAUCACUUAUCUUCUUUCCUCUCCCUCUUUCUUCUUCUUCUUCUUCUUCUUCUUCUUUCUCCUCUACACAAAGUACAACUUCAAUUCAUCUUUGUUAUUAGUCAGAAACAUUUGGUAAUGCAGCACUAGCAGCUAACAAGUGGUAUUUUGUUGAGAAGUACGUUAGGGUUUGUUGUGAAUUCAGUAGUUUUCCGGCAGGUGUGUGGGGUCCACUUCUUUUUUUUUCUUAUUGAAAUGGAUACAGCUACAGUUUUAUUACUGUUCACGGCGAUCAUGGGAUAUUUGCUAUGGUUCAGUUUCAUCUCAAGAUCAUUAAGAGGUCCACGUGUAUGGCCAGUAUUAGGUAGUUUACCUGGUUUGAUCGAGAACGCAGAUCGAAUGCAUGAAUGGAUUGCUGAAAAUCUUCGUGCGUGUGGUGGCACAUACCAAACUUGCAUCUGUGCUAUUCCAUUUCUCGCGCGAAAACAAGGGAUGGUGACUGUCACGUGUGAUCCCAAGAAUCUCGAGCAUAUAUUAAAGACUCGCUUCGAUAAUUAUCCAAAAGGUCCCACUUGGCAAGCUGUUUUUCAUGACUUACUUGGUGAAGGAAUCUUCAAUUCUGAUGGAGACACGUGGUUGUUUCAGCGAAAAACUGCUGCACUCGAAUUCACCACAAGAACUCUCCGUCAAGCUAUGGCUCGUUGGGUAAAUCGAGCUAUUCAACUCAGGUUUUGUCCGAUUUUGAAAUCAGCUCAACUUGAAGGCCAGAAAAUUGAUCUUCAAGAUCUGCUGCUUCGACUUACAUUCGAUAAUAUCUGUGGUCUAGCUUUUGGGAAAGAUCCACAAACUCUAGCCCCUGGUCUACCUGAAAAUAGCUUUGCAUCUGCAUUUGAUCAAGCGACAGAGGCUACGUUGCAACGUUUUAUCUUGCCUGAGAGUGUAUGGAAACUAAGGAGAUAUCUUGGACUUGGUUUAGAAGUUAAUUUAAACCAAAGUCUUAAACAUGUGGAUCAAUAUUUGUCCAGCGUCAUCAAUACACGUAAGCUUGAGUUGAAGAAUCAUCAAAAGACUAUCGUUCAUGAUGAUUUGCUGUCAAGGUUUAUGAAGAAGAAAGAAACCUACUCAGAUUCAUUCCUUCAACACGUGGCACUCAAUUUCAUCCUAGCUGGACGUGACACAUCAUCAGUUGCAUUGAGUUGGUUUUUUUGGUUGGUGACUCAGAAUCCAAGAGUUGAACAGAAAAUAUUAACUGAAAUCUGCACCGUUCUGAUUGAGACACGUGGAGAUGAUAUAUCAAAGUGGAUUGAUGAGCCGUUGAUGUUCGAAGAGGUGGAUCGUCUGAAUUAUCUAAAAGCAGCAUUAUCAGAAACUCUUCGUCUAUACCCAUCAGUUCCAGAAGACUCAAAGCAUGUGGUGAAAGAUGAUGUGUUGCCAGAUGGAACAUUUGUACCCGCAGGAUCAGCAAUCACAUAUUCAAUAUAUUCAACGGGUAGGAUGAAGUCCACGUGGGGUGAAGAUUGUUUAGAAUUUAAACCCGAAAGGUGGUUAUCAGCUGAUGAGAAACGAUUCGAAGUUCAAGACUCGUUCCGAUUCGUAGCAUUUAAUGCAGGACCAAGGAUCUGUUUGGGUAAAGAUUUGGCUUAUCUUCAAAUGAAAUCAAUAGCAGCUUCAGUUUUACUACGCCACCGGCUCACAAUAGCACAAGGUCAUAAAGUGGAGCAGAAAAUGUCUCUAACAUUGUUCAUGAAGUACGGGCUUAUGGUUAACGUGCACCAUAGGGAUUUGUCGGCAAUCGUUGAAUCAGUUAGUAAGAAGUGUGAUAACACUGCCGUUAACUUUAACUGCAAUGUUAACGGUGGUUGUUAUGAAAGUGCUGGUUUGGUUGUUGAGAAUGUGAAGGUUGGUGUGGCAGCUUAAAUUGAGGUGAAUCUUGUGAAUACAGCAUAUAUAUAUAUAUAUGUGGUAUUAUUUACUAUAUAUUAAAAUUUUAUUACAUGUGGGUAAAAAUUUGAUGAUGGUUUUGAAGAUAAGUGUUAUCCAAUCAUUGUUUGCCAACUGUAAAAAGAUAGCACUUUGAUUGGUUAACACUUGCUUUACUACACUAAUAUAAUUAUGGACGAGUAUUAUGAUAUGAGCUAUUGAGCUUAAGCAUCAAAAGUUUCUCUUAUGUAAAAGAAGUUAUAAAAGAGGAGACAAAAGAGAUAUGAAAAUUGGGGAAAAAGGGUUGUUUUUAGAACAACCUUGCCAUCAACAUCCUUUAGAUAUAACUUUUGUUUCAUUUUCAAGUUUGUUCAAUACUGUGUGAUGUUUUUAAUUUAAUAAAAAAGUUUAUAAAGAAACACAAGUAUUUUGUUAUUGUAUUGUAUUCUGGAUCAGAAGAUCAUCGGUUUGGUCACUUGUCAUAGUAUUUUCUUUCUAAUUCUAGAAUUAAUAAUCAUCAUAGGAUGGAUAACAUGGACGUUCUGCCAUUCAGAUAUUUGAUUUGAAUGUGAUUGAUUUUUAGGUGAACAUCAAUUCAUUUGAUUCUAUUGCACAUGUAGAUAACUAAUGACGUCUGUUUGCUGCUCUCAGAAUUCUCAAGUCUCAACAACAUUUCAAUGAUAUUCCAAUAUAGUAGUUGUGUUUUUUUUUUUUCCCAGUUAUAUGUAUAGAACAUCGAUUAAUCUUAUUUUUUCCAAAUAUUUACAUUGAGUAUAUGCAUUCACGGCGCGCUACCUCAGUAUGAAGCUUACUGAUGUUGGGGAAUCCAGUUCUGCUAUGUACUGAUGUUUUAUUUUCCUCCUAAACUGAUGGUAUACCUAUCACCUAUUGUAGGCUGACCAGUCUGUAAAAAGUAAAAAAAAAAAAAAAAGCAUUCUCAGCAAAAUUACCCUAAUACUGUAUAAUUUGUGUUGCAUUAGGUGAUAGAGGGUGAUUGCAUGACUUGUCAUCUUCUUCAAUUUGGUAAAGCAUGACUUCUCUUUCAAUCUUCAUGAUACACUUUACCUUUCAGUAGUAGAAACAGCACAAGGGACUUAUCUUAAAACAUGUGUUUUCAUUAAAUUGUGAUUAUGAAAUUGGAGCUACGAAUAAUGAAUUACUAAGGUCUAACAUCUUUAAAAUACUCAACUACCAAUCCAUACUGGCAUCCUUGCCUUGGAGCUGUAAAGCAUCUUAUGUGUAUAGAGAGAGAUCAGUAUUUUCUUUUUAAUGUACAUGUUUGCAAAGAGACAAUCCAUAUGACAAAAUAUAUAAAUUUAUAUAUGUAAUAUAACCAACACCAAUGUACAUUGAUAAAGAUUGGACAUUUUGGGGAUGUUGUUGAUGAAGAAGAUCUUAAAUGUGCAAGGGAAAAGCUGAUGAGCUGAACAUGAACUGUACUAGUGGAAAACAACUAACCAAGAAGGGUGAAACAGAGCAGUAAUAAGAAAGUCCAAAGAAUUAAUAAUGUCGUUGAAUCCAUAGUUCCAUUGACAUACCCUAUUAUAGUAUCAUAGCAAAUGGUCGUUGGCAAAUUCUGUGCAGCCCAUGCUCUAAAACUAGCAACUAACAUGGCAACAUGCAAUACACACUCGACCAGCCGAUAUACAGCAUACACACUUGCAAGUUGUUCAAAAUAAUAUUUUAGGUAUAAUAGAGGCGUCAGGAUUCAGGAGUGAUUGAAUGCUUUCAGAACCUAUUAUGAGCAAACACACAUAGUUGUUCAGUGUUAAUUGUUGAACAACAGUGGAAGAAUUAGGCAUUUAUCUAUGUUCGCAGUUAACCCAUAUACUGCCAAAUUUAUUGGGGAGAAGUGGAGAACAGAUGACUGAUGAAGGUGAAUAGCCCAUAAAGGAAAUUCAUUCUAAUGAAGGAAGUAGUACAUUUUUCUGGUAUUUUCUAGGUCCUGGGCAAUUUUUCUGCCCUUGUCAUCAAAUUGACCCUGAUCUUCAAGUCCAAGUCCUUUUAAUUCUAUCAUCAAUCCACCAAAGUACCUUCUUCUGAUUUACAGAAUCUUUCCCCAUAAGGCCUUAGCCUAAAAUUGACCCUGAUCUUCAAGUCAAAAUUAUUUUAAUUCUAUCACCAUUCACCAAUCAAUGAAACUAUACCUUCUGAAUUCUGAUCUACAAAAUUGUUCCCCAUAAUCCCAUGACAGUAAAGUAAAAAAUACAGUACAGUACAGUAUGUCAUAUCCGCCAUCCCAAAUGAACAUCCUUCCCAUACAGUGUUGUUUCUAGGGGUGGGCACGGUCCGGUCCGGUCCUAAAAUGUAAUAGGACCAAACCGAUUUGAAAGUAUCGGUUCGGUUUCGGUUCCAUGGACCGAAAUUAUUUAAAUGUAACCGGACCGAAUCGGACCAAAUACAAUCGAUCCGGUUUCGGUCCGAAACUCGGUCCUGGGCUUUUUUAUUGGGCCUUUAGUCCAUUCUCAACAUCCACUUAAGAAAAUUCUUAGAUCUAGUUUAGUUAGAAACUUAAAACUAUGUUCUUCACCCACAAGUGUCUUUCAUCUUUCUGUCUUAAUUGGUCUUUAGAUCUACAAACCUUUUCUCUUUUUUCUUUCAAUCUGGAGCUUUUAGAUCGAUUUGUAGUUAUUAAUGUUUGAUUUGAUUGCUGAAAUCAUCAAAUGAUUUGGUGGAAUAAACGAUGGUGAAUAACGAUGUUUAAUGGCUUGAAGAGAUUGGUAAUCAGCUUGGGUGACAACUGAUUUUUGAAAAAUUUCAAAUGGGUCUGUAUUCACAACACAACUGAUUUUGAUUUCCCAUAUAAAUAAGACAAGGUUGCAGAAAUAGAAAAGAAAAAAUGGGGGUGAAGAAAAAUGAAACAAGAGUAAAGAAAAUUCAGAACUUGUUAAUCUAGUGUAACAGGGCUUUGAUACACACCUAAAUCUUCCAAGAGAUUUAAUUGGAAGUCUUAAAAGUAUCUCUUCAUCAACAUGGUGGUUCUCCAUCUCUGUCCACCAACACCUUUCUUCACUUCUCACAACAGAAUCCAUCAUCAUAACAGUACCACUUUCUUGAGCUUUAGCAAUUGCAAGAAUUAGAAAUAAGGGCUAAAAUGAGAGGAGAAAGGGGACCUAGAAAUGUAGGGUUUCCUCAACUAAAGUCAACAGUAUGACAAAAUUGGUUUAAAUUGGGCUUAAAAAUAUGAAAAAUUAAGAGCCCAUUAGGCCCAGCCAAAAGGAGAAAUUUCUUGAAGAUCUCUCGUUCGUUGCUACUUGCUACUCAACUCAAGUAACUCAACCGAAGAGAAUUGCUCAACUCCGCGUGUUCUUCAAAAUUCAUUCCUUAUAAAUUAGAAAUUAGAAUUAGAUUCCUCUCUCUCUCUGAUCUUGAUCUUGAUCUAAUCAUCUUCGUGAUCUUGGUAGAGCUAUAUAUCUUCGUGAUCUUCGUUCUUUUCCCCAAUUAUUUCUUUCUGUUAAACAUCAUUAUUUUUUUGGCUUUAGGUUUUCAAAUUUAAUUUCAAAUUAUCUCUCGAUUGAAUUUUAUUUCGGUUCGGUUCGGUUCUCUCGGUUCUAUAAAAACAAGAACCGAGACCGGACCAAUAGUUAUAUAGUUCGGUUCGGUUUCGGUCCGGUCUUAACCGGUUUUUAGUCAACUCGGUUUUGACUCGAUUUUUUCGGUUCGGUUUUCGGUUUUUCGGUUUUUUUGCCCACCCCUAGUUGUUUCUAAGGGCCAGUAAAGACUGCCUACAAUUUUUGUUGGGCCAAGGCUUAGAAAUUGGUUACCCUACCCAAAUGAACACCCGAGAGCUGGAUGGAGUUGAUGCCAGUUGAACUAAGACUGGAGGAGCUCAAAACAUUCGGUUGGGUGGGUGGGUGGUUUUGACUUUUGAGUUUAUAAUAUGUUUGCUUAGGUUACCCUCUCCGGAAGACCGGAACGAGACCAAUAAAAGGUCCAAAUCACAAAGCAUACUGAUCUACAGUACAAUGGUACAUACAAAAAAGUACUAAAUGCAAUGACAUAGGGUUGAGGCCAUAACAAAAAUUUAGGGGUAAAGUGAAGCAACCGAGACAAACGAACAAAGAAUGAAGCAAAAAAAAAAAAAGAGAGAAAAAAAAAUGGAGACUAAAUGCAAGGUAUAUGUAAUGGAAGUUUCAUGGUACAAUCAACCAGAUCUAUCCAAGUACAAAGCAAGAAACCAAAAUUAAGGGAGAGCAUAGCAUUGAGUCAGUGACUCAUGCUGAGGUCCCCGAGCUGAGCCAAACCAAGCUAAUCCAUUUAAAAUGGGACAGGGACAUGUUGGCCUCAUAUGGGUCAUGAAGAGUAGAAUGAUAGCAUUUUAGCUUGUUGGUUGACAUGUUUGAUUUUCCUGGACUGUAGCUUUUCUUUGAUCUUUUCGACAAAAUUUUAUAAGUGAUUAUAAACUGCCUCAUGAUUUUCUUCCCUACUUACUUCUAGUCAAGAACUUUCUCUCCGGUUGCAAACAAGUUCCAUACCAAUGUGCCCACAAUAUACAAGACAACAGCCACCUUAAAGACAUCGUCCCAUGAACCUGCAAAGAAAAAAAAAGAAUUAACAAUCAAAGUAGCUUGCCAUAAAUAAAUUGAAAAUUCAUGGAGUUGGGUUGCUGGAUUUGCCUCGUUGAAGAAUGUAUCCUGUGGCGGCUGUACCAAAGACACCAGCAAGCACGCCUGCUGUGUUUGAUAAUCCCAGCAGCACUCCCUGUGUAACAAAGUUCACUCAUUAGAGGUAUAAAUGGAUUUUCUGUACUUUCUGAGUGGGAGAGAGGAGGAUCAAAAUCUAUACUAUUUUCAUUUGUAGCUUUUAGAGGAAAGGUAAUGACAAACCAUUGCUAAAAAAUCUUGUACUUUCUUUUACAAUCAUUUUCCCAGUUUUAGUAAUAUUCUCUCGCAAAUAUCUUCCCAUCAAUCAAAUACACCCCCAGAUGUAGUUGAGUUCGAAAGUUAAAUUUCAAUUCUGCAAUUUCCCUACCCAAUCAGGUGCCCACCCUUUUUUGUUGCACAAUAUUUUAAAAUUUGACAAUAUUCUCAACCAAAUACAGGUUACAAGUGUUUCUCAACAUGCCAAGUAUUAAAUACCCCAUAUAUAUAUGAUUAUCCGAUUAUAUACUCUGAUGAUCGUAACUGCAUAUUUGGCAAGAGGAUGCUUUAAGAAGCAAGAUUUGAGAAUUUGUUAUCUGCCGGGACAAGAAACAUACACACACAAAGAGAGAAACUUACAGCAUAUCGUGGUCCAAUAUCUUGGUGAUUGGAAUAGAGGCCAGACUGUGAGAACGCAUCCAAACCCUGUUGAAAGUAAGGAUAUGUGAGCAGUCAAAUUUCUUAAUAAAUUUUAAUUUCUUACAGGUAGGACUUCCAGCAACCACCAAACAGUAAAGGUUUUAGUUGAAUAUCUGGUUAGAAAUUAUGUAUCUAAUGCCCAACAACCAUCUUGUAUCUAUGUGUGAAACAUUUUAUUCAUCUCUAUUAUCAUUGGAAUAGUAUUUGUUAACCUGUAUCAUAACAACCAAUGGUUAAUGAUCAAAUAAUUGAAAUAUCAAUGCAAUGGGUUGAGCCGUUGAGACAACCAAUUUUCAAAACCCAAUGAGAACAGUAAAACUGUAUCCUCUAAAUAUUGAGACCGUGAUACAGCAGGACCUUUACUUUUGUGAUUUCUUUAAUAUUUACUUAUUGUAUCUGUUACUCUCUCUAUAGGUAAUAGGUUUGACUGAAUAUCUAAAACUGGGGACUCGACUCUUGAGAUAAUCAAGAACAACGUAUAUUUAAAACACCAACAGGUAGAGACCUAAAUAUCAGGAAGUUUAAAACAUAUAAUGCAUGGAUGAUUUUGCUAGCACGAUGGCACUAACCUGACUGCAUGACAUGCAUAAAACUGCCAAGGCUGGAGUGCGGACUUUGCUUAGCUGUGUGAGGAAGAAGGCUGGACCCAGAAACCCUAUCGAUUGCAUGAUCUGCAGUGUUGGAAGGAUUUGACAUGUAAGGAACAAGAGAGAGAGAAAAGAAAAGAAAUAAAAGACAAAGAUGACAAAACAAAACCAUAAAAUACACUAAAGGUUAAAGUGUUAUAAUCACCUUUCGAACUGUAGUUAUAGAAAGACCUCUGGUCACAAGUGUGUCUGCAAUCCACCCGCCUAUAUUUGCAAACACGGCCAUGGUUAACCAUGGUAAGACACAGAAAAGGCCAGAUUCAGCAAGAUUGAACUUCAAAACCUGAAAAUCCAUUGAAUAAUAUAUUUCAGUUAGUCCUACUGCAAUGCUACCUGUACUCACUUCCAGCUUCUAUAUUCCUGAAUUCGGAUUUUCAGAUAUGCAUAUAUUAAAUGUUGAGUUGUUCAAUCAUCAUCCAUGAUAAGUUAGAAGACAGAAGAAACAAAAAUUGACAUUGCAAAUCAUAUAUUUGUCAAUCCACUCGCUGUCUCGAGUAAUUGAAAAAAACAGUUGCAGAAGCUUUUCAAGUGAAAAUAUGCUAUAAUAUUUCAAUUGAAAUACUUUAAUUUUUUUUGAAAAACUUUGCUAGAUAAUCAAAAUGAGUGAAGAGGGAAAAAGAAAGCACAAAUGUAAGGUUGGCUAGACAAAAGGGUACAAGGGAAACAUAUUCAAUUUGUCUCUAGCAUAGCUGCUUCUCUAUUCUCUGUUUUAUAAUACAACCAAAUCUAACAGAAGGGUAAAGCGUGACGACAAAGAAGAUCUGAAGUUUAUAAGCUCUACAGAUGGCUGAGGAAACAACAAGAUAGGAAAGAUCUGAUAAUAACAAAACUCAAUGAAUUGGUGUCAUUCUCAAAUUGGUGUCAUUUCAUUACGACUAAAAGACGACUCUGUCAGUGUGUACAAUGUUCCCGACACCCACAAACAUAAGAAGCUGAUUCAUCUAUUACUUUUAGUUCACACUGACAAACACACUAGUCGAACUCUGUUUAUAUUUAGAACACCCGCACUCACUCUUUGCCACAUGCUUCAAACUCAACUUUGCAGACACACAGAUAUAGCCUUUUGAAUACUAUAAAUGAUUAAACUACUUGUGUGCAUUGCAUGUCAGUGUAUUCAGGACUACGGGAAUAAUUUCUACUCAGACCUAAUAAAAUUAUAUGAAAUCACAUAUAACUGACUCUAACCUGAUUAUAGUAUGUAGGCAUCCAUGUAAGAAGAAUAAAGGUUCCCCAAUUAUGACAGAAGUGGGAGAUUAUCAGAGCCCAGACAGGCGCUUUAGACAAAAUUAGUUUCCAUGGAAUGACUGUAACAGGACUCUUCGACACACUGCCUCCCAAUAUGACUUUCUUUUCCUCUGGAGAAAGCUCUGGGUCUUCUUGUGGCGAACUUUGUGCCUAUUAAAGACAUAGAAAACAUGUGAUGGAAAUUUAUGAGCAACUUUGAGAAGGAUAGAACAAUCACAAAAAACAAUAAUGCAUGCCUUUUCUGCUAAACACUAGUUUAUAACAUAUGUAUCUCAUAACAAGAUACUCACUUUUCUCAUCCACAAUGCAAACCAGAUACUACCAAGAGAUCCAAAAGAAUAAAACACUGAAGGCCAUCCAAAUUUAUGGAUUAGAAUGGGAGAUAAGGCCAAGCCUGUGACGGAACCAAGGUACAUGCCACUGUAUACUAGUGCAAGCGACCUGCUUCUCUCGGAUACCGGUAUCCACUUUGACAACAUAUUAUUCAUAGCAGGCAUAGCAACACCCUGAACAGACAAUUGAGACACUCUUAAUUAGCUUGAAACUUAUUAAACAGAAAGUUAGAGGCAAAAUGGUUAACAAUAUCCUAAUUGAGUUCCCCUAUUUAGUAAAAUGCAUAUUGUAAUGAGAAUCAAGACAGACUAGAACUAAAUCAGAUACCAAAUAAUCUUCCAGGAGUGGAAUCUGAUGCAAAAGGGUUUUGUUUUUACAGAAAAUAUAGAAUCAAAUAAAUCCAAAUAUUCUUAUGAUUCCGCUUUCCAUAAAUCCAAUAGAGACUGUCAAAAUCAAACUAGUAUUGAAGAAGCUAAGCUAACCUCACCAAUCCCCAUAAAAGCACGCAUGGCCAGUAAAAAGGGAAGCCCUGCUCUUGCAGCUAUAGGUGUCAGAACAGUAGCAAGCGACCACCAUAUCACCCCAAAACCAAGCACAAGCUUACCACCAACUUUAUCUGCCCAUAUACCUCCAACAAUCUAUAAAAGGGAAGAAAUUUUUUAGUCAAAAGCUGAGCCAGUGAAAUUGUCAGUUCACACAAAAGAGAAAAAAUAUAUAUAUAUGUCCUGCAAUGCGUCAUUUCCUUUAUAACAGAAAACUUCUACUGAAGUCAAGUAGCUGUAUUUCCUUGCAAAAUCACAGCAUGAAAGUUCAACAGAAGAAGAUAUAGCAACGAUAAACCUAUAUACACUUUUGUUGUAGUGAACAGACUUCAAGCCAGACCUGUGUCAGUAGAUAGCCCCAGAAAAAAGAAGACUGGAUCAGACCAACAGUUGCAGGACUCCAAUUGUACUCUGCCGACAUUGGAAGUAUAGCAAUGCUCAUAUUCACCUGUUGAUGUUAGUUCCACCCUAAAGUGAGAAUUUAUAUUGAAAUUUUUGUCUUUUUUUCACCGUCACAAAAAACUUGAAAUAAGGUUUUAUGAUUGAUUGUAAAGCAUUGCCUGAAAUAAUGGGUAAUGAAUGAAAUCAGAACUUAGCUUACACGGUCCAUAUUGCAGAGGAGAAAUGCUGAAAAACAUAGUAGUACAAUCACCCAGCGCUUUGGAAAUUGCUUCUGCCAAAAAGAUGUUUUCUGCUCAGAUAAAACAACCUCAUUUGGCACAUCUGAAGAGUUCAUGGAGUCCAAAUUUGAUCCUGUUAUGUCAUAUGGCUCCGAUUUAUAAUUAACCCUUGUUCUAGUUGCUUUACGAUACUCAAUUUGCUGGCAUUGUGUAUCAUAUAUACCGAGCUUAUCCAGCUUUCUUGGCUGACUCCAAAUGGCAUUAAAAGGAUCUAAAGAAAGAAAGCACUCACACCUUCCCUGAAUUCUUCGCUUAACAUUAACAAUUUGGAAAAUUUCUUUAGAUUUUGUAAAGCUUAAAAGUGGAUGCUCCAAUGCAGGCUUUUGUUUCAUAGUUCUCUCGCAUGAAAGAAAAUUGCGAUGAACAAUGGGGCUAACAGUGUUUCUAGACACAUAAGAAUGAUUGCCUCUUGAAAUACAUAAUCUUUUCUUGAAACUGUUACCCCUUGUACAACUCUCACUAACACCACUCAAAUGCUCUCCUUUAUGUGCAGUAGCCUGCUCUGGUUCAUAAGCUUUUCCUGCCAGGAUCAUUUGACUACCGUCAGAUUAUCUAACCAGAAGUACGAAUAUAUAAACAUAUACUACUACAAACACAUUCAUAAAGAGUAUGGUAGCACAUACUUAGCACAUGUUUAUAUAACUCCCGAAAUAUGAUUUGUGCCUUUGGCACAUUCGGAACGUGUGCAAAAGAUGUAUUUAUGCUUUCAAUAUGCUUCACCCACUAUAUGUGCCUCUGAAAGAUAAAUGUAUUCCUGACAUGUCUCUCUCUUUCUUUUCUUUAUCGGUCAUAGGUAUUGAAAGUUAUUUGGAAAUCGCGGCUAAAUCCAAAAUGGGGAAAAACAAAUCUCUGGGAGUGCUCUCUUAAAUGUCGGAUGCUUGCGCACACAAUCGUGUGUAGAUCAAUCAUUUUUUGCCAAAAUUAAUUAAAUAAUAAAGACAACACAAACUUAAUAAAGCUUAAAUCUAAACCCAUCUCAUCCAAAAACCUAAUUAACCUAACAGAAUUCACCCUUAAUCAAAAGAGUAUAUAUAUCUAACUACUGCCUGUGUUUCUCCUUGCAAUGUUUCUACUUUCUAUAUCAAAGUCAAAACAAAUAAAUCAUGCUCAAAUAGAGAAAGAGGGACAAAUUUAGCUGGACAGCCUCUAUCCUCCAAAGUCCAACUCCGAUUCAUCAAUUACUCAACAUGCAACUUCAAAUUGAACUCAAUUUCAUCAAAUAGACGUAUUUUCAAACUGAAUAUUCCUUCGUUACUCCACAACACUGAGAUGUAAAAUAUAUGAACUGGCAUUUUCAAACAGAAUAUUCCUUCAUUACUCCACAACACUGAGAUGUAAAACAUAUGAACUGGCAUUUUCAAACUGAAUAUUCCUUCAUUACUCCAAGACAUGAGAUGUAAAACAUACGACUUGACAUUUUACUAAUAUGCAACUACAAAAUCAACUUGAAUUUGUAUGGAAAAAUGCAUAAACCAUAAAAUCCACAAACGAAGUAAUCUUGUCUGUAGAUUUAAACUUUAAAUCACUAAAUCAAACACUUGUAGAACAUAAAAUGCAAUUCAGAGAAACAAAUUCUCAUCUACAUUCUACUCUUCAUCUUUGAACAAAAAAACAAAGCUGAAAGAUUUCGAUACCUGAACCGAUAAAUGAACCAAAACUCCUGCUUGAAAUCACUCCAUUGAAAGCCAUUACUGCAAUUAAUUUUCACUAUUCAACUACUCGAUCAUUUCAGAUUCUAAAACCUAUUCAAAUUACAAAGAAAAUCGCCAUUUUCAAUUAAAACCCAAUCUUCUUUCUCACUCUCUCGUUCAUGCAAGUAAAAUGCUACUCUACUCUACUCUACUCUAUUCUGUUCACAAGCGGGAAAUUUUCUGCUAUGUUGUUUAUGAGGACUAAACUCAGGACACGUGGCACAUCAUCCUCGUGAAGAAGUUGUAAGAUUCCUGUCCUUGCUUUGAAGUUUACAGAUUAACCCUAUGGUAAUAUGAAACAUCAGAAGACUGUAACUGGUUGGUUUGGUAAUUAUAGUCAAAUUUGUCUCUUAAUUAGAAAGAAAUUUGUAGUUUGCACUCUGCACCGCGGAAUCACAAACUUUAACCACUUUUCGCAAGUGGGUGCCUACUGGCUUAAGUCGUUGUCAGAAAAAGACUUCCGUUACAACAACCUUCUCAUCAAAUCAUUAUCUACACGUGGCAACUCUUCUUCGCCGUUAACGCCCAGAUUCCCACAAUGCUGGAUAGUUCCGUUACUUUUUACGGCCCGUUUAUUUUGAUUUUUUGUUUUGGGGGUCCACGUAAAAAGCCCAACAAAACAUAUCACAUGCUCGUAGCCCAAUACCAAUGGUUAAUCAGUUAAUCUAGCUAUUUUUUUGCUGAGAAGUACGUAUUGUGUUUUUUUUCUUUCUUUGCAGUAAUGUCAAUAUUAGUAGUCAAACCCGUACAAAAUGUGUAUGUCAACACUUGACUUAAUUGGACAAGCAUAGUUGCAUUUGACUUUAUUUUCAAGUGUUCUUAAUUUAUUACCUUUGCCAAUAUAAAACAACUGCUCAUUUACCAUGCAGAGGUGAAAAAUACUUUUCAUGUACAAGUAGACCUACACAUUUCAUUCAUGGACAAGUCAUCUAUCAUGACUUUUGUAUUGGCAAUUUUGCUAAUAUAUAUAAAGUUGAAAUCUCAAAUACUACAAACUGUGAAAUAGUUAACGUCACUUUCUUAAUUUUGUUUCGGAGAUGAGAAGGUUGAUCUGGUCACUCUGUUUUUAGUUUUUAGCUUUUCGCAGACAUGAUAAUGCUGUUAAAUACAAGAAUCUAAUGAAAGAUAUUAAUAAUAAAUUAAAAAUGUUAAUCACGGUCGGAUCCAAAGCAUUUGGACACGUUGUGAUUUAUGAUAGAGAUAUGUACGUAACGAUAGAAAUUGCGUAGAGUUGUAAUAUUGACGUAGACUCAAAACUAGGGUCUGCGGUAUGCUCGAGUUCACUAAAAAAAAUAAUAUCAAAAAUUACUAAAAAAAUAACAGGAAAUUGUUCAGACAACAUUUCCAUUUCUACGCGCACCUUACUCAUCAUCAUCAUACUCUCUCAUCUUUUUUUUCUUUCUUCAAUAUAUUUUUUUUUUUUUUUUUAUAAUUAUACACUUUAAUCUCCAUUUUAUCCAUCGAAAAUUCUUAAAAUACCUAAUAAAUCCUCUCUUUUCUUCUAGUUCAUUCUAUUCUACUUCUUUACUUGGAUUUUUCAAGAUUUCUAGGGUUUCGUUUUGCUCUUUUUUGAGCUCGAUUGAAACCCAAAAUCGAACAAUUUAAGUAACUUGUGUAGUGGAUUUUAGUUAAGAAUCUAUGUUUUUUAUUGGAUUUCUUUGCUUGGGAGAGAUUGUUGUCACUUUGUGUUACAGUUCCAUUAGUUGUUCAAAUUUGGAGAAGAAACUACAAGUCAUCGAUCUUUGUUAGUGAAAUGUUUUGAAUGAUUAUUUGUAUUCGAGGAGUUUGAUUGCACGCAGUUGUCAAGUAAGUAGAGUGAAUUUACAUUAGUUUUUAGUAUAAUUUUGUUAGCUUAGUUUAGUUGUUUUUGUUCAUUAGAUUUGCUUUAUUGUGAUGUGGUUGAAUUCAUAGAUCUGUGUGAAGAGUUUGGUUUGGAUUUGUGAUUCUCUGACAAAUUGAUUAGAGAAUGUGUAUUGAUCAACUCCAGUGAAAAUAUAAAGGAUUGAAUUGAACUAUCUCAUUUCAGUUGAAGUUUUGGUUAGAUCUUUUAAUCAUGUUGGGUGACUGUCUUCAAAGGAUUUGUCUAGUGUGAGGGAAUAGUGUUAGGGGAUGGUGUGAAUUCGGCAUGAUUGAGGAGAAGAAAGUACGUUAGGAGUUCUGUCAAUACAUAUUGGUGGAAAGUAUAGAGAAUUUGGAAUUAAUUGCAGGACAGUUUCACUUUUCUUCAUUGAUUAUCCGAGAAGAGAAUCUGGAAAGAACAUAAAGUACGGAGCUUUUAAUGUGAUUGUGUUGGUUCACAACAAGGGCAUGAGUGCGGUUGAGUCAAUCGUGCAUAAUGAUUUCCAACUGUUAUCAACUUAACGAGGUUUAGGACAUGGGUGUUGCUUAUUGAGCAAAAAGCGAAUAACUAGAGUUUGCACAGUUUAAUCUGAGCUUGUUUUUCAGUGUAUCAAAUUCAAAAUAAUAAACGCUAUUCCGCAUGUCCUGUAAUGCUUAGAAACUUGGCAAACUAUAAAACUAAAACAUGUUCAAAAUUUUGAAUUCUUAUAUCUGGUGAAAUCACAAUGAUUAGCAAGGUAACGUAAGAUGAAGAAAAGAAGCAAUAUAAGAAACAGAGGUUAGAAAAGGAAUAUCAACAAUUUCCUUUUUUUUAAGAAUGAUGGCUUGUUAUACUGUAUAUGUGGAGAGUAGCAUUCUGUUCUUUUCUAAUUUGUGGUACAUGUUUUAAUGCACUGGGUAUAUAUGUUUAACAUGAUCAAUAUCUUCUGUUAGAUUUAAAAUACUCAUAGUCCUUUGGUCAUAAAAUGCUUAAUUUUGUCUCUCGAAUCGCUUCAAUGAUGAAAUGAAUGUUAUACCUAAUCAGGUUUCUUUGUUUUAUUUCUUGCAAGUCAUUUCCAAACUUUUGAUUGUAAUGUAUUUUGAUCUCUUGCGCUGAUAAUUUCUGUGAUUGUUGUAGUCUGAUAUAAAGACCUCUCUUUUGUGCACAAUAUUUCCUACUCUAACCUUAGUCUGACUUCCCUUUAUAAUAUUCUAAAGCUGGUGGUUGCAGAUGUUUGGCCAUUCAGAUAAGGCUUUCUCAUUGAGGUGGUCAUUGUUGGUCAUAAAGCUAUUGAACUUUUAUCAUCUGAAACAUAUAUAUGAAUGAUACCUUGUCGCUGUCCUGAGUGCUGCUUGUUUGUAGCUUAUAUAGAAGUCUCUACAAAUUUUUACCAGUUGAAACAUGCCUUCAUGGUGGGGGAAAUCUUCGUCCAAGGAAGUUAAGAAGAAAAAUAACAAGGAAAGUUUUAUUGAAACAAUAAACCGAAAGUUCAAGACUCCAACUGAAGACAAAUGUAACAUCAGAUCAGGAGGAUCUCGAAGACGUAAUUGUGAUAUAGUUUCGGAAAAAGGAUCCCUAUCGCGAGCAGUGUCUAGGUCACCAUCUCCCUCCAAUCAAGUAUCACGGUGUCAAAGUUUUGCAGAAAGGGGGCUCGCUCAACCUCUUCCUCUUCCUGGGGUGCAUCCUUCAAGUGUAGGUCGCACCGAUUCUGCCAUCAGUAUUCAAAGACCAGGAUUGGAAAAGCGUUCAAAGCCCUCCUUGUUUUUGCCUCUUCCAAGACCUGGUUGUAUUUCCAACAGGGGAGAUCCUACCGAUGUUGAUGCAGAUUUGGCAACAGCUUCUGUUUCGAGUGAUUGCUCUAUUGACAGUGACGAUCCAGCUGAUUCUCGUCAUCUUAGCCCUCGAGCUGUAAAUUUGGAAAAUGGGAGCAGAACUGUUGCAAAUAGUCCUUCCAGGUGAGCUUGCUGGAUGUUGUGUGGAUGAAUGUCAUAAUGUUUUCUGUAAACCUCAUAUUGUAGUAGAACAUUGUUUUGUACAGAGGUGUGUGUGUGUGUUUAUGUAUGCAUAUGCUUGAUCCCUUCCUAAAUUGUUUACUUUGUCUUCUUGUUGAAGCAUAUUGCAUAAGGAUCAAUCCCCUAGUGCCAUCAGAAAGAAUUCAAGGGAGUCUACAAAACCUGUUAAUCAUUUGUUCAGUAGCCAAAAUCUGUCUACAUCACCUAGACGAGGUCCCUUAAGUGCUUAUGCCCCCACCUUACUGAUUCCUCACAAUGGUGCUUUCACAAGUGCUCCUGACAGCUCGAUGUCCAGUCCUUCUAGAAGCCCUAUGCGAGGAUUUAGCCCUGAGCAAAUUGCAAGUUCUAACUUUUGGGCCGCAAAACCUUAUCCGGAUGUUGGUCUACUUGGAUCUGGUCACUGCUCCAGUCCGGGUUCAGGUCAAAAUUCUGGACACAAUUCGAUGGGAGGUGAUAUGUCAGGGCAGUUAUUUUGGCAGCAAAGCAGGGGGAGCCCCGAAUGUUCUCCUAUACCUAGCCCUAGAAUGACAAGCCCAGGCCCCAGCUCUCGAAUUCAUAGUGGUGCUGUCACGCCUCUACAUCCACGGGCUGCUGGAGGAACUACAGAAACAUCAGCAAACUGGCCUGAUGAUGUUAAACAACAAAGCCACCGUUUGCCUCUCCCGCCAUCUAAUUCUAGUCAUUUUUCUCCUUCAAGUUCAACAGCACCAACCUCACCAUCGGUCCCACGAAGUCCUGGAAGAGCAGAAACUCCAACAAGUCCUGGUUCACGCUGGAAGAAGGGAAGGCUGCUUGGCAGAGGCACAUUUGGACAUGUUUAUGUUGGUUUCAACAGGUAUGUUCCAUGGAUUUAGAUCCUGCACUUCUUCUUUGCAAGAAAUAUCAAGUUAGUGAGUUGCUUAGUCUUUAAAAUCAGUUGAAAAUCAGAGUCAUACGUCCAUUUUCUGUGUUCAGUUAUCCGCCAUCUAGAUUGUUUAUAUGGAUUGUGAUAUAUGUAUUGCUUGUAAAACAGUGAGAGUGGAGAAAUGUGUGCCAUGAAGGAGGUCACAUUAUUUGAUGAUGCCAAGUCAAAGGAAAGUGCAAAACAGUUGGGACAAGUGAGAAAUCUUCCCUUUGUAAAAACGUUUGUUAAAACAUUUGAUUCUAUUGGUUGUUUCUCUUUUUAUUCAUUUGAUUAAUAUGUUUGUACUUGUCAGCUUGUUCUUUGCUCUUACCUUGAUGAGAACUUCGACCUAAUUUUGAUACUUUGCAGGAAAUUACCUUACUGAGUCGCUUGCGGCAUCAGAAUAUUGUGCAGUAUUAUGGAUCUGAGACGGUAUGUGUUGUCUUUACAUACAUAGUUUGUUAGUUCCUUGGCGUAUUUCUCUGUGUAGUAAAUCUAAAUGUAUUUUGUUCACUGUACUUCACGUUACUGCUUAUUGUUAAUUGGACAAGCUUAACAUGAUUCUGUUUUAGAGCUGGCAUUGAGGUUGCAGUCCACUUAGUUUGAUUCUGUAAUCAUUAAGACUUAGAAUGUAUUGACAAAGAUGCCUACUACAUUAUGCAGUUUAAUUUCAAAGCAGGAGGCCUAAUUUCACUCUGUUGUCCCCUGACCUGAAAUUUUUUGUUGUUUAUUUAUCUCGGAUUAAAAAAAAAAGCUAGUUAUAUUUUUCUUCUUCAAAGAACAAAUAGUACAAUGGUAAUAUUAUUCUGUGAACAAGGCAGACCUUAGUUUGUGUUGGUUUGCUCGAUGCUUUAGGUAUCCUGAUGGUUGGGUAUUAUUUCCUUGAACAGGUAGAUGACAAACUGUAUAUAUACCUGGAGUAUGUAUCUGGUGGCUCUAUUUAUAAGCUUCUUCAAGAUUAUGGGCAGUUGGGUGAACUGGCAAUUCGUAGUUAUACCCAACAAAUUCUUUCAGGCCUGGCAUAUCUGCAUGCUAAGAAUACUGUGCAUAGGUGGGUGUAUUUGCUUGUUCUUUCCAUUUCCAAAUGAUCUGAUGUUAAACAGCUGAAUGAUGUCAUUGUACCUUUCUGUGGUGGCUGUUAUAUGACUGUGUCUAUGGUUUGAUUGUCUUUCCAGGGACAUUAAAGGAGCAAACAUACUCGUAGAUCCUAAUGGGCGGGUUAAGUUGGCAGAUUUUGGGAUGGCGAAACAUGUAAGCGUUCACAUCGCCAUGUCUAUUGUUUAGGUUAUAUAUUUUAUAGUUGUAGGCAUCCUGCUACUUGCAACUAGUCCUGCACAAGGAACUGGAAGUUUCAGCAUAUAUCCUGUUAAUUGUAAUAGCAACCUAUCUUUGAAUCUGCUCUCAGCCGAAUUUGUUAAGGUUGUCGUUUUGCAAUUAAAUUUUGUUCAUGUGAGGUUUUUCUGUAAUAAAAAUUCGACAUAGUCCAAUAUUCCGAUUGAAAUUCUGGGUUUUUAAUGGUUCCAAAACUCACCCUAUUCGAAACUUGAACUGUGGAGAGAGUUGACCACAGAUGUUUACAUAUUUGUCAAUUUACCUGAGAUGAACAGAUUUCUGUUUAUGCUGUAAGUUUACUAGUAUCAUGGCUGAGUACAUGUUGUCACUCAAUUUUAUGUACGUACAUGCAGAUUACUGGGCAAUCUUGUCCCUUGUCAUUCAAGGGGAGCCCUUACUGGAUGGCACCUGAGGUAAAAUAGUUCUCUUGUUGUCUCUGCAUGUUUCCGUACAUUUUCCAUUAGCUUUAAAUUUGCAUCUUUUGUAUCAGGUGAUAAAAAAUUCAAAUGGUUCCAAUCUCGCUGUUGAUAUUUGGAGUCUUGGAUGUACUGUUCUGGAGAUGUCCACAACAAAACCACCUUGGAGCCAGUACGAAGGGGUCAGUUAUUUGGAUGUAUUCUAUGGAUAUCAAUAUGACUUCUUUCCUUAGAUCUGUUUCUGAAAAUUGAUCUUAGUGGUUUUAGAUACUGAUGCUUUCGUGUAUUUUGUCAAAAGGUUGCUGCCAUGUUUAAGAUUGGGAACAGUAAGGAACUUCCAGCUAUACCUGAUCAUCUCUCAGAUGAUGGAAAGGAUUUUGUGAGACAAUGCUUGCAACGGAAUCCACUACAUCGUCUAACAGCUGCUCAGCUACUGGAGCAUCCUUUUGUAAAGAAUGCAGCUCCAUUGGAAAGACAUAUCCCGGGUUCCGAGCCUUCAGAACCACAUCCAGGAGUUACGACUGGGUUGAGAUCUUUGGUAUGCUAUCAGUUUUACUACACAUGCUAUCAUUUAAUGUCUCUGGUGUUUGCUGAUUGAGGGUUCUUGGUAUAUUAUAUCCUAUUUAGUAUGUCACAAAAUCUGCUAACAUGUAGUAGGCUCUGUCAGUUUUGAAUUCCUUCUCCAUGACACAAGGACUGUUAUAUCAACUACUAUCACCCAUUUUCUUUUGCUAGUGAUUCUCUAUAUGUAAAUCUGACCCUUCAACUCUUAGCCUAACUUUCCUGAUGCCUUUCUUUAUGUCCUGCCCAAUGGGAUAUACAACGUUUUACAUUGUCAAAUGUUCCACGAUUUCUUCUAAUACAUAUUUUAGUGGUUAUAGUAGUGUGACAAACUUUAAACAUUAAUCUGGGUAUACAACCAUCUUUCAGGGUGUUGGGCAUGCAAGGAAUUUUUCCUCGUUGGACUCAGAAGGUCUGGCAAUCCAUCCCAGAGGUGCAAAAAUGGGUGCAACAUCCAGGUUAGGGUCUCAAUGGACUAUGUUUGGUUUUUUAGCUGUAGCUGCUCUUCAGUCACUUAGUUUGUUGAAUCGUGAAUCAAUAUAGACUUGUCGACCUGCAAAGGCAUGCAUUAAUCUCAUCUGAUAUCUUACAUCUGCUUUUCAGUGAUAACAUUCUUCCAAGGAACAUAUCCUGUCCAGUUUCUCCUAUAGGAAGCCCUCUUCUACACUCACGUUCGCCACAACAUAUAAAUGGAAGAAUGUCUCCUUCACCCAUAUCUAGCCCUCGCACCACCUCUGGCUCAUCAACCCCUCUUACUGGUGGCAAUGGUGCCAUUCCAUUUCAUCACCUGAAGCAUCCAGCCUACUUGCAUGAAGGUUUUGGAAGUAUGCCACGGUCCCCCAACGGUCUCUAUGGUAAUGGUUCCAUGUAUCCGGACCUCAAGCCUGACCUGUUUCGUGGGAUGCAGCCAGGCUCUCAUGCCUUUCGGGAAUUGAUUGCAUCGGAUCACGAAGUUCUUGGAAAGCCGUUUAGAAGACCUGCUCAUGGAGAUUCUAGAGAACUAUAUGAGGGACGGUCUGUGUUGGCUGACCGUGUUUCUCAACAGCUUCCGAGGGAUCACGUAAAAUCAAAUCCAUCACUUGACCUAAGUCCUGGUUCUCCUAUGCUUGGCCGCGCUAAUGGUGUUUGACUUCACAUGAAGCCCAACAAUUUGGUUGAGCUGCUGAGCAAGGAAAAUUAUUUGAUCCCAACUAGAUCGGCUUGUUAUCUGUUUAGUGCCUAUAAAACUUGCACACAAUAAGUAUCUACAGUGAAAAAAAAUCUGAAAUAAGGUCGGAUUUCGGAAGCUAAGGUACCAAAGGAGAGUACAUUAUGGUUUGUAUUCAAUACUUCCAUAGGGUGAGUGAGGCAUAUAUAGUGAAUCUCUGGGAUAAUAGUGGUAACUCAUCUAGCAACUAGGAAAUGCUUGAGGCACAGUUACUGGUCUCAAGAAUGGGAGCUUCAAUCUGUCGAAGGGGAACAAAUGGAUUACAUUGGUCCAAAACUCAGCAUUGUAGUGGAAGAAUUGUAAAUUAUAGAUCAUCAUACAGAAUGAAAUUGAAAAGAGUACGAGUUGGAAGAACUAAUAGCGUUUUGACUCCUCUUGUUCUACUUCCCCCUCCCCUUUUCAUUUACUUUUGUUUCUAGUCUUCUUUUUGGUUCAUCAUAAUUGUGUACAGAAGCAAGGGAACUGGUUUUGGUGUCCAGGUCUCGCUGACAAGGUCUAUGUUUUCGAGCCUGUGCUGUUCAUUUGGUUGUAUUGCCUUGUGCUGGCUCGGAUUCAACUUUUGUAUGAUCUGCCUCAUUUGUUGUAUUUACAUAUGGAGUAUAUUGAAGUAGAAUUGUAAUCCCACUCUUUUUUUUCUUGUCUUUAUUUUUCUUCAUUAUACCAUAGUGCGUGCUGAUAGUGAAAGGGCCAUCUGGACUUUACUGUCAGGUCUCUCUGCAUUUGGGUUAUAUACUUGGAAAGAACACAAGUAAAUAACUACCCCCUCCUCCCGUGUUAGUCCUGUCAAAAGAAGAAUCUCAAUUGUGUCUGUUUAGUGUUUACGAUAUCCUGUAUGUAGAAAUGUAGAAUGCUCAAGAUGGACAUCAUGUUAUAGUUAUAGUAGAUACAAGUAGUAGAUGGCAGGAUAAUAAUGACUUUAUUGGUAGGUUUAGAUCCCAAAGUUGGAAGAUAUGAGUUAAUGUGAUUUUUACUCCAAAUUUGUUAUACAAUUAGGCUCUUAAAGGAUUGACACAAUAUUAGUAUGAUAUCUUUCAUUAACCAGUACAGUAUAUAUAGAAACUAAUUAGCUACUUGUAUUCAUUCUAGUCAUAAUUUGAUAACCAGGUCACCUACAUGCUGGCCAUAAGGUGAAAUCAUUUUUUUUUUUUUUUUUUUAAAAAAAAUUUGUAUAUUAAUCAUGGCCAAAGGCUACUGAUGCUACCAUGUAAGCGUCUACACCGCCACCUUGCAACUCGAGCAAUUCUACUCAGGGACUUGCUUUCGCUAAAGAACACCUAGCCACAUCAUCAUCAUGGGAGAACACUUAACCACAUCAUCAUCAUAAGAGCAUAGACCUCCUAAUCUCGAAUCGGGCAUGAAGGCUGGACCCACCUAAGAAUUACAUGAGAAAUUCCCUCAAACACUGUUGAUAGGAAUCGAACUCACAACCUCUCACUCGUAGGAGUGUUUGAGAGGGAUAACAAACCAACUGAGCUAGCAGUUGUUUGUUAAGGUGAAAUCUUAAACCACUAUUGACUUCCUAUUUGAUCAGUGAUUAAUGUAGCAUUGAUUAAUGACUGUUCAAAACAUUUUGCCUGCUGCAAACCAACAGGCACAUAUUGAAAAUUAUGUGCUUGUUGGGAAUCUUUACAACUUCUAAAAAAAACUGGUACACAACGCCAUGGAGCUUAUGUGCAACGCUGAUGUUAGAUCUCACCAUCAGGCCAACAAAGCUCAUGAGGGCGUUUAAAACAUAUCAAAACUCCCCUUAGGCUUCACAUUUCAAUAUUUCACCCUAUCUACUGGCACCACCACCACAUCACGACAUCACCACUCCCCUCCCAACACCACUUUAGCCAAAGCACCUGUACAGUUAAACUCCCUUACUCCAACUCUGCAUCUGCAUCUGCAUCAUUAUCCAUGAUGCAGAUAGUCUCAGCUCUCGUAUUCUUCUCCUUUCAAUAAACUAGAAGGACCAUGUCAACUGUCAAGUGCUUGAUUGAUGGUGAUGAUCUGGAUGCCGGAUCCAAUGUCCUUAACAAAGCCUUCUUCCCCAACGGUUUACAGAUUACUGGAUGGGGUGAGGAGAGAUUGCAGAUGAACAACACCAUGUGUUUCUCAUAAACCAUAUUAAGAAGUUCUUGAGCACUCGACCCAAAGCAAACUUAUUAAAUAAUAUGGUAGAUCCAAGUGAACUGUUAGCAAUGUGCACAUAGAUUUGACUUCUGAGGCUUCACUAAGAAAAUCAUUGUUUACAGUAUCAGGAAAUGUUGAACUUACAGAAUCUGAAACAUAAAAUAGGUUUUACAAAAUCAAUUGAUCAAGCUCAUACUGAAUUCCCAUAGUUUCUUUGCUAGCUCUGUAUCUUUAGCCAGUGUGCUCGGCUUUCCAACGUUGCUAUCAGAAAAAUAUUCACCGCUUACACCCUUGACCUGUGGAUGCAAGGCCACAUAGCAUGUCGUUGCAGCACCCUAUAACCAUGUCAAACGAGAAAAAGUAAAUAUACUGAGUUCUAGAAGUCAAAUUACAUUUCAAAUUAAUAUAAAGGAGGAAAUUUACCUGUUCAACAUUUUUGAGUAAAUAUUUGUCAACAGCCUUGACAAUGCCUGUAUAAGCCACAGAAUUAAAAAUAAAAUUAGAUACAUGUUAAUUUUAAUUUUAAGACUAUAUCACAUAAAAUUCAAACCAAGGUAUUUCCAAUAUAUGUAUAACACAAAUUAGAUGUGGUAAAUGAAUAUCUGGGAAGCUGUAAAUUGAAUAUUUAUAUAGUCUAGCUUUGGUGACAGAUCACAUAAAGGUGUUUUAAGAGGUCCAAAGACUUCAUGUUGGCGUAACCACAUUAAGUCACAGUAGAACUUUGUUUACUUUUUUGUGCAAAAUAAUUUUGUAAUUUGAUUGCAACAUUUCUUUCCUCCUCACAUGGGUUGUGACACGCAGGCACAAGAAAUAUUUAAAAUGAUCCUUCUGAAAAACAUGUACAGAUAUGAUUGAUUGGCGAAAUGGAAACGCUGCAUAUAACGAGUACUUGGAAGAUGCUGAAGUAAUUGUAAUUUCCCAGUGCAUGGAAGAACUGGGAAGAAUAAUCACUUUCCAAUCUGGUUGUUAUUAAACUGAUAAGAUCAUGGAAAUUUAACAAAAUGUGCCGCUGACCCAUCUUCGAAUCUAUGUGGACAGCGACAUGGUGGAAAGGAGCACAAAUGAUAUUCAACAAAUGGUCCAAGUACAAUUGUUAUGAAAAGGAAAUCAGAGUUUAGGGUUUAAGGUUCUACAUUAUAGCUUAGUUCAGGACAUUCUUUAAAAUUCAAUGCUAGAUCAGUGAUUUACCAUUAAUAAUACUAUGAUGCCGCAGAAUGUCUGUAUUAAUAGAUCCUGGAUGAAGUGAAUUAGCAGUUAUCUGUACCCCAUCUUCCUGUAAGAAAAUAAGAGAUAGAUUAAAUAAUGACAGGUAAGUAAGAACCAACAUAGUAGUAUAACAGAAAGAGGGUUAGUCAUAAUAGCAGCAGAACUAUAAUAGACAGAGAUGCAGGAUUAAUAGACAGAGAUGGAGGAUCAACGUGAAAACAUGAGCACCGAGCACCACCAAGAUUCUUAAGCUAUUCAAGACGUGAGAUCUAUCAUAUGUGCCACUCCGAGUGAAGAUAUAUUACAGGAGUGUGUCGUUUUCAAGAUUCCAAACGUUUCCCUUCUGAUUUCUUAUGUAGUAUCUUAGUCUACAAAAACUAAUAGUACAAGUGUACAACAUUCUAGAAAAGAUUAAAAACUUAUGCCACAAUCAGAAUAGCACAAUAUAUUCCCACUUGAAAACAAUGGAUCUAGAGAGCAAGGCCACAAUACCAUGGUGUCACCAAGGUGAGUGUCUUAUCUGCCUUAGCCAAGGAACCAGCUAAAGAAGACAACGCCAUCAUAUUUUCUUGGGGAUUUCUAUCAUUAUCUUUUAUGUGUUAAGCUCCCCAGUGAAAAAGCUAGCUACAUAUAAUAUAUACAAGGUUGGUCUUUUGAGUCUACAUGCGUUGUAACAUGUUAGUACUACUGCGAGAAAAACUGUUCAGCUUCAAACAAAGUUCACGAUUACUGGAUUACAUCAACACCCAUAUCUUCUUCAUGUUUGCAAUAUUGCCAGUUUCACUUCUUAUUGUAUUGUCUUCCUCCUCUUUCAAGAAACUGAACUAAAAAGUUCACUAAUUCGCGAAAACAACAUCACAAGAAAACAGGUAGCAAACAAGUGAACAACCCCAUACACCAACUACUUUUUGCUGGAGUGAAAUUUCCAAAUAUAACAAAUACCUUUAAGAAUCUUGUAAGUUCAUUGGCAUGCAAUACAUUAGCAAGCUUGGACUGGCCAUACGCAUAUACAGUGCUGUAUCUGUAAGUUAUCAAUUUGACGAAAAAGGUCAAGAGAGAUUAACUUGGGUGCAGAAAAAGAAACAUCAAGUAAGAAAACACACAUAGUUGCUUUGAAGCAACAUACUCUGCUUUAUCAUUGAUUUUAUCAAAACGAAUUCCUUCUUUGUAUGCAAAAUUUGCAAAUCGGUGAGCUUCAGAUGACACAUUGACAAUUCUCCCUUCUAUGUUACUUUGUUUUGCAGUGCUUUUCAAAGUCUCCAACAGAAGAUUUGUUAAAAGAAAGAAAACAAUGAAAACUCUUUCCAGUCACUUGAAGAAAAGGUGUGCUAGACACCACUACCUCUAUAUAAUUUUACAUAUACAGAGACACACACCCACAAAUUAAAAAGGACCCUGACUGAGAUUAAGAAUGGAGGGAUCAUAUGGUAGACAUUUAUUAUGAUAUACUCAUUGUGCGUAAGGAUAAGACCAAACUGUAUUAUAGGAUCGGGGUGAAACAGACAUUAAUAGUGAUCGUUGGGUUUGCAUCAAAGUCCAGGAAUCAUCGGAUAUGGUUUCAAUCAGAUGUAAUCAGAAUCAUAAAGGAAAACAACCAAACUUUAUAGAUCUAAAUAACAUCAUCAAAGCAAAACAACGAAAAGAUGAUUCAGUCCUUGCACAGUAUUGAAAAAAUUGAACAGAUAUAAAUGUCAUGAAAUGGUUCUGAGUUCUGAGACUUACUCAGAUACAUUGCAUUGCCAGUAAAUAGUUGGCUAACGGUACUCAAAUCAUAAAGCCUUAAAGUCUUUUGAAACAUUUCACAACAUUCACAUGUACAUGUUUCAAUUAUUUCAUAAAAAAGAACAUGAAGGGAAACUAAAGACCGUUUCCAGAAGUUUGAUCCUUAAUUAGGUUUUUAAUGGUAAAUAACUAAUGUGUACAUGCAUUGUUGUCAGUAGGAAACUAUUUUCCAACUACCAUCCACAUAGGGAAAUAGACAGGGAUCAUAUAUACAACAUACCUACAUGGUUUGUUGCAAACUGCAUCUCUAUCUUGUCUUGGGAAAGCAUGAAGGGACAUGCCAUCACUCCUGCAUUGUUACUUCCAACAUAGAAAACUAUUCGUCAAACUAUAAAAACUAAGCAGGCUUAAGAGUUCAAGAUCUUGAGAGGUUAGCUGAAUAACGACCACUAUAAAUGCACUAUUUGUGUGCAAGACUACAUAUAGUAGCUCUUUUAUUUCUUACAUGAGGAUAUUCAGAGGAAGACCCGCAGAAUUGAAGUCAGAGGCGAAUUUCUUCACUGAUGCCAUUGAGCUGAGAUCUAACUCCAUUAUAUCAACUUUAGCAGUGGGAUUUUCCUUGACGAUUGCUUCUUUGACAUUUGCAGCAGCUGCCAUAUUCCUUACUCCCAUGACUACAUGGACUCCACGCAAUGAAAGCACACGUGCUGUCUCAGCGCCAAUACCAGUGGACGCUCCUUCAAUGAGAUCAAGCCAUUGACAUAAAACGAUGUAAAAAGAUAGAACUAGUAUGAAAUACUUUCAAAAAUUGACAAGGGGAGAUUGGAAUCCAAAUGCAUUUCACAACAUUAGCUACCAAGACACCAAUAUCUAUAAACUUAGCAGUUAUGACUAUCAAAUGUUCAGUAACUGGACUGCUGAACAUCAUCAUCAUUUAUCUCUCACUUGCAUAAAAAUUACAACGGAAAAGAACCUUACAUAUGCAGGUAAAAGUAAUGAUUUGAGUUUGUCUAUCAAAUUUAUGGCAAUCGUUUUAUACUUUUGUUGGACACUUGGUACCUCUGUCAAUGUCCUAAUUGUUCUUGUCGUUGCCACGUAGUAGAUUAGUAACUUAUUGAAUACGUUUAUCACUACCCGCAGCAACGACAGAACCUUAUAGCCACAUUGAUAAUAAUUCAAAAAUACGAUUCUUCUCGCAAGUGUAGUAGACAUGGAAAUAGGAAAGUGUACCAAAGCAUAACCGACAAACAAACAGCUAUUGACUAUUCAUUUUGGACACUGUACUCUAGAUGAUGAACUACACUUUAGUACCAACCACUAAAUUGAAAUUAUGUUAAUAUGCAAAUCAGGUCAUGUGGUGCACAUAAACUUCAGUAAAGUGAAGGGGGGUAUUGAACAUCCUAGAUAUUCGACACAAACCCACAUCAAGAUAUUAUCAAAAUAAUAAAAGAAAAAUAACCUAUAAUUAAUCCCACUUUUUUUGAAAAAAAAAAUUCUCAGAUGGUGAACCAAGAAUAAAAAUAAAAACAUAAGUUAUCAAUAAUUCAUGUUUAAUAACAAAGAAAACAGAAACCCCUAUAAUAUUAUAUUAUAGUUUAAAUGUUUCACCAGUGACGAUAGCAGUAAGACCAUUUCCAUUAAUUCCAUGUGUAACUUCCUCUGCUGUUGAUGAAGAUGAGAAACCACAAACCAGAUGCUGAUGGCGGUGGACCCUUUUUGCUAAAUAACCACAUCACUGACACUAAGAGCAUUCCCAAUGGUAGGUUUUAAAUCACUUUUAGCAACUUUUAGUAAAAAACACUUGCCAAUAGUGGGUUUUAACACACUUUUCAAGCAAAACACUUUUAUCUCCUUGGCAAAUUUGCCAAGAGUUAAAAGUGCCACAUAGGACUAUUUUAUUAAUUAAAAAUUAGAUUUCAUCACAAUGUACACUAUAUUUUUUGGGAAAAGUGAAACCUUAAAUUUUAACCCUUGUUUUAAAACCAACCAUUGGUAACUCUAAAAGUGCUAAUCACUUUUAACAUAAAUUUUAUGCUAAAACCUUUUCUCUCUCUCCUAUGUGGCACCCUUAAAACCCUUUUACUAUUGGAAAUGCUCUAAUCGGUUUGUUUUACUCCAAAUCCUCUAAUCUAAGUGGAGUGUGUAGUAUCUCGAAGCAAAAUAGUUCGUCAAUCCAACGGUUAAAAUUAAGUAGUAGAAGAGUUUUGCAAUCUGCAUAAAGACAAACAAGACAACAGCCGCCGUUGACUGUGAUAACCGAGAAAUCUUUUGCUCACUACCUUUUUGCUCACCAUGCUUCUCACUCCGCUGAGAUAUUUACACGUGGCUCUAAGAUCUUAAAAAAUAUUAUUUGAUAAAUGCCAUCUUAUUAAACCAACUAAAGCUCAAAGCGUAGUUAAGCCCAUAAUUAAAGUCCAAAAUAUAAACCCAAAGGGGCAGUCGAUGAAAGCAAUUCCGGUCCAUGGUCAUGGGCAUGGGCUUCACCCAUGAUGAUGACGUUUGAUGGCCCUUUAAUCAUUUUUUUUUUUUUUUGCUAAUUAAGUUGUAUUAUAAAAAACUCAGAGAACAAAACUGAGUGGGUUGGGUGGUAACAUAUCUACCCCUCACCAGCUUUAAGACUUGAUCAGACUCUUGUAAAGCCUGUUUCGAAGCCUUGUCUGCAGAAACUAGUAGGAAGGAGAACUUACUCUUAAUCAAGCUCCACCUAGUCUUUAUCUCCACCUAGCCAUUUAACCAUUUGUUAUCUCACACUUUUCUAACUCUCAACUGUCAAAUGCUUGAUUGACGGUUUUGAUCUGGAUGCCGGUUUACCGAUUACUGAAUCGGGUGAGGAGAGAUGUAGAUGAACACCAUGUGUUUCUCAUAAACUGUAUUAGUCACUCUAUGGGCAGAUUGAAUCAGGUUCAGGUCUUAUCCGUAACCAAUCUAAGAAGUUCUUGGGCACUCAGACCCAACUCAAAUUAAUUGACACCAAGCAAACUUAUCAAAUAAUAUGGUAGAUCCAUGUGAACUGCUAGCAAUGUGCACAUAGAUUUGAGGCUUCACUUAAAAAAAAAUAUAUGGUUUACAGUAUCAGGAAAUGUUAAACUUACUAAAUCUGAAACAUGAAAUAAGUUUUACAAUCCAAACAAGUGUGUUGUGGAUAAUCACCGUGAUAUGUAUUUUUUUCCUCCUGGAAAAGACGCCCUAGUUUGGUGUAAUCUUUAUAUUACAAAAUCAAUUGAUCAAGCUCAUACUGAAUUCCCAUAGUUUCUUUGCUAGCUCUGUAUCUUUAGCUAGUGUGCUCGGCUUUCCAACGUUGCUGUCUGAAAAAUAUUCACCGCUUACACCCUUGACCUGUGGAUGCAAGGCCACGUAGCAUGUUGUUGCCGCACCCUACAACCAUGUCAAACCAGAAAAAAGUAAAUAUACUGAGCUCUAGAAGUCAAAUUACAUUUCAAAUUUAUUUAAAAUUGAAAAUUUACCUGUUCAACAUUUUUGAGUAAAUAUUUGCCAACUGCCUUGACGAUCCCUGUAUAAGCCACGGAAUUUAAAAUAGAAUUAAAUACAUGUUAAUUUUAGUUUUAAUUUUUAGAAUAUAUAACAUAAAAUUCAAACCAAGGUAUUUCCAAUAUAUGUAUAACAGAAAUUAGAAGUGGUAAAUGAACAUCUGGGAAGCUGUAAAUUGAAUAUUUAUAUAGUCUUGCUUUAUUAACAAAGACCACACAUUUUGAGUACAUAUAGCAGUCAGCAGUUCUUGUAUGACUUCAAGAACUGAAUUGACAUAGUAGUCUUGUGACAGAUCACAUAAAGGAGUUUUGGCAUACGUAUUAUUGAGUAAGAGGCCCAAAGACUUCAUGUUGGAAUAGCCACAUUGAGUCACAGUAGAACUUUGUUUACUUUUCUGUGCGAAAAAAAUUUCUAAUUAGAUUGCAAUUUUUUUUUCCUCCUCACAUGGGUUGUGACACGUAGGCAGGACUCGAUUCUAAAGAUCGCAAGAAAUAUUUAAUAAAUAAGCAAAAAUUUGAUCCUUCUAACAAACAUAUACAAAUAUAAUUGGCGAAAUGGAAACGCUGCAUAUAAUGAGUACGGCUAAUAUGCUGAAGUAAUUGUAGUUUCCCAGUGCAUGGAAGAACUGGGAAGAAUAAUCACAUUCCAAUCUGGUUGUUGUUGGACUGAUAGAUCAUGAAAAUUAAACAAAAUGUGCCGCUGACCCAUCUUCCAAUCUAUGUGGACCGCGACAUGGUGAAAAGUAGCACAAAUGAUAUUUAACAAAUGGUUCAGGUACAAUUGUUAUGAAAAGGAAAUCAGGGUUUAGAGUGUAGGGUUUAAGGUUCUACCAUUAUAGCUUGGUGCAUGACAUUCUCUAUAAUCCAAUGCUAGAUCAGUGAUUUACCAUUAAUAAUACUAUGAUGCCGCAGAAGGUCUGUAUUAAUAGAUCCAGGAUGAAGUGAAUUAGCAGUUAUCUGUACCCCAUCUUCCUGUAAAAAUAAGAGAGAGCAACUGCUAUUAUUACAUAUGCUGCACAGCUUGAUACCGAGAAUGCAAAUAAUAUGUUGCAAAGGAAUGACACGUUCAAUUUAUGUCUAUAAAAUAAAAGCUGGAUUAAAUGACAGGUAAGUAAGGACCAAAAAGAACAAGGCUAGCUAAGGGACCUCCUGGAGCUAGAGAGCAAGGCCAUAAUACCAUGGGGACACCAAGGUGAGUGUCUUAUUUGCCUUAGCCAAGGCACCAGGUAAAGAAGGUCAAUGCCAUCAUAUUUUCUUAGGGGUUUCUAUCAUUAUCUUUUAUCUGUUAUGCUCCCCAAUGAAAAAGCUAGGGUUGUUUUUUUGAGUCUACAAGCAUUGUUACAUGUUAGUACUACUGCGAAAAAAUCUGUUCAACUUCAAACAAAGUUCACGAUUAUAUCAACACCCAUUGCCAUUUUCCACUUUUUAUGUUUGCAAUAUUGCCAGUUUCCACUUUUUAUGGUACUGUCUUCCUCCUCUUUCAAGAAACUGAACUAAACGAUUACUAAUUCCCAAAAGAACAUCACAAAAAAAACAGGAAGCAGACAACCCCAUACACCAACUAUUUUUUGCUGUAGUGAAAUUUCCAAAUAUAACAAAUACCUUUAAGCGUCCUGUAAGUUCAUUGGCAUGCAAUACAUUAGCAAGCUUGGACUGGCCGUACGCAUAUACAGUGCUGUAUCUGUAAGUUGUCAAUUCAAAGAAAAAAGUUAAGAAAGAUUAACUUGGGUGUAGAAAAAGAAACAUCAAGUAAGAAAACACAUAUAGUUGCUUUGAAGCAACAUACUCUGCUUUAUCAUUGAUUUUAUCAAAACGAAUUCCUUCUUUGUAUGGAAAUCGGUGAGCUUCAGAUGACACAUUGACAAUUCUCCCUUCUAUGUUACUUUGUUUUGCAGUGCUUUUCAAAGUCUCCAACAGAAGAUUUGUUAAAAGAAAAUGACCUGCAAGAAAACAAUGAAAACUCUUCCCAGUCAUUUGAAGAAAAGGUGUGCUAGACACCACUACCUCUAUAUAAUUUUACAUAUACAGAGACACACACCCACAAAUUAAAAAGGACCCUGACUGAGAUUAAGAAUAGAGAGAUUAUAUGGUAGACAUUUAUUAUGAGAUACUCAUUGUGCGUAAGGAUAAGACUAAACUAUUAUAGGAUCGGGGUGAAACAGACAUUUAUAGUGAUCGUUGGGUUUGCAUCAAAGUAAAAUUUCCAGGUAUCGUCAGAUAUGGUUUGAAUCAGAUGUAAUCGGAAUCAUCAAGAAAACCAACCAAACUUUAUAGAUCCAUAUAACAUAAUCAAAGCAAAACAACGAAAGAUGAUUCAGUUCUUGCACAGUAUUGAAAAAAAUUGAACAGAUAUAAAUGUCAUGAAAUGGUUCUAUGUUCUGAAACUUACUCAGAUACAUUGAAUUGCCAUAUGGGGUCAUAUUUUUUUUUUUUUUUUUUUUUGAUCGGCAAGCCUGUUUUAAUGAGAUCAGUAACUCAAAGAUGCACUGCCUGGGAUUGAACCCCAGACCUCUGGUAUCAUCACCCAGAGGUCAUAUUUGUGGGGACUAGUGCCAUACGGGGUUGUCUGGUGUGUAUGGACUAUGCGGAACAAGGUGAUUUUUAAGGAAGCAAGCUUCUCGGUUGAGACUGCGACUACCAGGGUCAACUGGUCAAGGCUUCUUUAUGGGCAUGGAUGGCUAUGCAACCUGAAAGUCUGAAGGAACGAAGCAAACAUUACUUCUCUGAUCUGCUGCGAAAUUGGUCUUUAACUAUGAGGUUGAGAUUACGGGUCUUAUUCAGACGCUAUGAUCUCUAUGGGUCAGGUACAAGGGUCUGUACGUCUAUGUGUGUGCGUGUUUGUUUUUUUCUUUUUCUUUUUCUUAUUGUAGUACCCGACGGAGUGACCACUCGCUGUUCAGGAUUGAAAGGUUCUCAUUUGGUGAUUAAUAUAUUUCUAUCUUUGAUAAAAAAAAGUACAUUGAAUUGCCAGUAAAUAGAUGGCUAAUGGCUACUCAAAUCGUAAGUCUUAUGAAAUAUUUCACAACAUUCACAUGUACAUGUUUCGAAAAGCUAAUGUGUACAUGCAUUGUUGUCAGCAGGAAACUUUUUUUACAACAACCAUCGACAUAGAUUUUGGGAAAUAGAAGGGAUCAUAUAUACAACGUACCUACAUGGUUUGUUGCAAAUUGCAUCUCUAUCUUGUCUUGGGAAAGCAUGAAGGGACAUGCCAUCACUCCUGCAUUGUUACUUCCAACAUAGAAAACUAUUCGUCAAACUAUUAAAACUAAGCAGGCUUAAGAGUUCAAGAUGUUGAGAGGCUAGCUAAAUAACGACCACUAUAAAUGUAUUUUUUGUGUGAAGACUACAUAUAGUAGCUCUUUUAUUUCUUACAUGAGGAUAUUCAGAGGAAGACCCGCAGAAUUGAAGUCAGAGGCGAAUUUCUUCACUGAUGCCAUUGAGCUGAGGUCUAACUCCAUUACAUCAACUUUAGCAGUGGGGUUUUCCUUGACGAUUGCUUCUUUGACAGUUGCAGCAGCUGCCAUAUUCCUUACUCCCAUGACUACAUGGACUCCACGCAAUGAAAGUACACGCGCUGUCUCAGCGCCAAUACCAGUGGACGCUCCUUCAAUGAGAUCAAACCAUUGACGUAAAAUGAUAGAACUAGUAUGAAAUACUUUCAAAAUUUGACAAGGGGAGAUGGGAAUCCAAAUGCAUUUCACAACAUAAGCUACCAAGACACCAACACAUACAUAUCUAUAAACUUUUUAUGACUAUCAAACGGUCAGUAACUGGACUGCUAAACAUUAUCAUCAUUUAUCUCUCACUUGCAUAUAAAUUAGAACAGAAAAGAACCUAAAAAUACAAAUGCAGGUAAAAGUAAUGUUUUGAGUAGAACUACUAAUAAAACAUCUAAUAGGGUCUGUUUGAUUCGGGUGGGAAUCUUUCCCAGUAAAUUUUUUUAGAGGGGUAUACUUGUAAUUGCACAAUAAGGUAGGUAGAGAUCUUAAAACUCUCUCUUCACUUCGUGCCUUCUUCUCCGACCUUAAAAUUUAAAUUACAACCUGUGUCCUCCGUUUUCACCGGUAAACCAAUUUACCGCUCGAAUCAAACAGACCCUAAGAGAAUGCAACACAUGCUAGAUGCAAUUUACCACACUUACUGUAUAUAGAGUUCUCUGUGAAUCUCCUAAUUGUCCUUGUCGGUGAGUGACACAUAGUAUAUUAUUAACUUAUCCAAUAAAUUUCCCACUACACAUAAGGACAGAACCUUACAACCACAUUGAUAGUAACUUAUCAAAUAAAUUACCCUCUAUUGAAUAUUCAUUUUGGACACUGUACUCUAGAUGAUGACUACACUUUACUACCAACCACUAAAUUGAAAUUAUUCAGAUCCCAAUCCCUAAAUAUGCAAAGUUCCCAACUACAAAUUUAAGUCCUCAUCAGGUCAGGUGCACAUAAAGUUUAGUGAAGUGAGGGGGUAUUAUUAAUAUCCUUUCUGUAGUCUUAUGAGUAGACUUGUUCAGGAUGAUAAAAAUGGGUGUAUUACAUGAUAAAUUAAUACAGGUUAGUUAAGGGUCAGCAAAAAAAAAUCCUAAAUAUUUUAUACAACCCCACGUCAAAGAAAUAACCAGAAUAACAAAAGAAAAUACUGUAACCAAUCAUGUAAUCCCACUUCUUUUAAAUUUUUCUCAAUAAUUGAUUGAUAGUGAACCAAGAAAAAAAAAAACCCAACAACAACAACAAACAUAAAAAUCAUAUGUAAGUUAUCAAAUUAACACAUCAUAAAUUCGUGUUUAAUAACAAGAAAACAGAAAACCCAAAUCAUAUGUAAGUUAUUAAUUAUAGUUUAAAUGUUUCACCAGUGACGAUAGCAGUAAGACCAGUUCCAUCAAUUCCUUGUGUAACUUCCUCUGCUGUUGAUGAAGCUGAGAAACCAGAUGGACCUUUUUUGCUAAAUAACCACAUUGAUUUCUCCUUCUAAACAAAAUCAACUUAAUCGGUUUAUUUUACUCCAAAUCCUCUCUACUCGAACAACAACAAGAAGAAGAACAAAGCUCCAAGUCAAGUAAUAGUCAGCAAGGAAAUUUCAACUUAAGUGGAGUGUUUACUAUCUCGAAGCAAAAUAGUUCAUCAAUCCAACGGUUAAAAUUAAGUAUAAGAGAUUCUGCAAUCUGCAUAGAGACAACAGCGAGACGGCUAGCUUAGUAAAGUUAGACGAUAAUAACCACGAUCGUUUAGGACUUAAACCAACUAAAAAGCCCAUAUUUAAAGUCCAAAAUAUAAGCCCAAAAUAUGAAUUCGAUUCCGGUCCAUAGGCUUCUUCACCCAAGGUUUGGCGGUAUUUAAAUUUAAUAUAAUUAUAUAAUGUCAACUGUUUUGAACUUGACGUUUAAGUGUUUAACCAUUGAUUAUCUCACACGUUGUUAACUCUCAAACUUAAAAAGUCAAACAUGAAUUUGUGCUAAACACUGAUUCUCCACUCUCCAGUUUGUUUGUUUCAAGUUUCAACAAUCAACAUGUGGUUAUUUAGCAAAAAGGGUCCAUCUGGUUUUUCAUCUUCAUCGACUGCAGAGGAAGUUACACAAGGAAUUGAUGGAACUGGUCUUACUGCCAUUGUUACAGGUAUAAACUAGCUUUUGCCUUCAGGGCACUUGUAAGUGUUUUGUUCUCUUUGUUCACUAUCGACCAUAAGAAGAAUGAAUCUUAUUAGUUUCUUCUUAAUUCUUAUCCAUCAUCUUUGUGAUUGAUUCAUUAUUAUCAGAAAAAGAUCAACGAUAUUUAGUUCAAUACUUACUUUUAUACAGUUAGGAUCUUUCAUUGAAUUAAGUUACGAGUAUGUGAUUUUGUGGUUUCUUUUGAAACCUGAUGACUGUAAUUUGGAAACAUUUGACCAUAAAUUAGAGUCAUUCAAGGGGGUUUUGAAAUCUUGGACUAGAUCAAGUCAAUGUUACUGCAGUAUAUAUAACCUUUGUUUUUUAAUUUAAUGAAAAUUAUUAUUUCAAUAUUUCAUGGAUGCCUUUGUUGCCUUUACAUAAUUCCAAAAUCACUGAGUUGGUCAAACAAUAUUUUCAAGUGAAUUAAAACUUUCGGAUUCACUUUUCUCCCAUUUUAUGUGCUAGUGUGGUACAAUGAUAUUUAUGUUUCUUAUUAUAUAGAACAAGUUUAAAAUGGAGAGCAUUUUGUACAAGCUCUAAUGUCUAAAUUUGGUUAUUGUUUUUCUCACUGAAAGGAGCAUCUGGUGGUAUUGGUGCUGAGACCUCACGUGUUUUUGCCUUGCGCGGCGUUCAUGUAAUCAUGGGAGUCAGGAAUAUGGUUGCAGGUGUGAAAGUCAAAGAAGCUAUAGUCAAGGACAACCCCGCUGCCAAAGUUGAUGUAAUGGAGUUAGAUCUCGGCUCAAUGGCAUCAGUAAAGAAAUUCGCCUCUGAGUACAAAUCCACGGGUCUUGCUCUGAACAUCCUCAUGUGAGAAAAAUAUAAGAAUAAGAACUACUAUAUGCACUUUCUUAAAUGAAGUAUGUAUUUAUAGGGAAGUGGCCACACUGUGGCCCUGUUAUUCAGUUGCCCUUUACAUGGUUGCCUUUUUGUUUGAUGAGUUUCAUAUUUCAUCAAUUUUGACGAACAAUUUUCUAUGCUGGAAGUAAUAAUGCAGGAGUCUUGGAUUCUCCGUCCAAGCUUUCCCAAGAUAACAUAGAACUUAUGUUUGCAACAAACCACAUAGGUACGUGAGUACGUCGCAUAUUUGUUCCAUGCAUUUCAGAAAAAUAAUGUGGAUAGCUGCAUAACAUUGUAUUAUCGACAAAUUAAAUAGCUUCUAAGUUCCAAAUGACCAGUGUGUGGCCAGACAGUGGAUCAAUCUUCUGAAGAAUAAAAUAUGGUCUCCUUCCAUGUCUGUUGAUAUGCAGUGCUCAAAAUGUUCAUGUUGUUGAUGUUUUGAAGAGUUCUCAAACAUAAAUUUUGAAGCAUUAAGCUUGUAGCAUACUUAGCUAUAUUAGUAUGUGCUAACUGCUCUUUAGAUUAAUAUACAGAGUUUGUGCUUGUUGGUUCUAAUUAUUUCUGCAUCAUCAUGAAACUCUUAAUUUCUACUUUGCCCCCUGUUUCGCUAUAAUAUAACAUUUUAAUGUAAUUAAAUCCUCUUAUUACCUGAAUGCAUGAUGAGAAGAUCGAAAUUCAUAUUUUUCAACCUCAUUCCUUAUGUAUAAUGCACUUCAACCUUACUCUCAAACGAUGAUAAUGAGCUGCUUAUUGUCUUUGCAGGUCAUUUCCUUUUGACAAAUCUUUUGCUGGAUACCAUGAAAGAGACUGCACAACGUAGUAAUGUUGAAGGGAGGAUCAUUAUUGUGUCAUCUCUCGGCCACCGAUAUUCAUACCCUGAAGGGAUUCGAUUUGAUAAGAUCAAUGAGAGAUCUGGGUAAUUUUGUUAAUUUUACCUGUAUUACUUGGCACAUGCUUACUUGCAGUUAACACAUUAGAUGUUUGUUUUUCAAAGCGAGAUGUCAACGUUAGAUCUGCCUUAAUUUCUGUCUACAUCUAUUAACCUACAGGUCGUGCGGUCCAUUUGAUUAUAAUCAGUCGAAGCUUGCUAAUGUAUUGCAUGCCAAUGAGCUUGCGAGGCGCUUAAAGGUAUUAAGGAAAAUUAGUACAAACAUUAGUUGGUAUUAUAUAUUAUAUUUCUAAAAAUUACGCUACCAUUGUGCAGGAAGAUGGUGUGCUGAUAACUGCAAACUCACUACAUCCAGGAGUUGUUACGACAAAUCUUUUGCGACAUCAUAGUUUUAUAAACGGUGAAUCACCAACAUACAGUAUUUUGAGUUAACUCGAUGCUUAUAGUAGUAAAUUGCAGGAACAAGACAUUUGAACAAUGACCUUCACUAAGUUGGUAACUAUGUUACAUUCAUUCAAUUGGAAGCAUUUUCCUUGAGCCACUCAGUCACAGCGCAACUGCAUCAAUGAACUUAGGCAUAUUGAUUUUCAAUUGCCUAAGUUUAUUGAUCUUAUUGUAGUAAAACUAGAGGUGACAUGUUGACACGGUGUGUUUCUUUCCCUUAUUCGCAUGCAGGUAUUCUCCUUACAUUGGGCAAAUUUUUGGUGCAAAAUGUUCAGCAGGUGGGUCAUACAUUCAUUGCGCAUUGUUAUUUAUUUUUUAAUUUCUUCAUGAAAUGCAAUUCUAGUUUUUAUCAGUUGAUUCAGUUGUCUCAUGUCACUGCACAUGGUUGCAGGGAGCUGCAACAACAUGCUAUGUGGCCUUGCAUCCACAGGUCAAAGGUGUAACGGGUGAAUACUUUCAGGACUGUAACAUUGGAAAUGCAAGCACACAAGCUAAAGAUACAGAGCUAGCUAAAAGACUCUGGGAUUUUAGUUUGACCUUGAUCAAUUGAUAUUCAUUAUCAUUAUAAACGAUUCUGAAAGACAAGUGCUUUAUGUAUUGUUGAUCAUAUCCUUGUCCUUGUGUUUUACUGAAAAUAAAAAUUUCAACAUGUAAAACCUAUAAAGAUCUAUAUAUGUAUUGGGGAUUUGGGGUUGACGUCUUUAAUAAUGUAUUUCUAUUGCUGUUUUGAUUACAAGCUCAAUUCAAAAGCAAAAGGGCAUUCUAAAUUUGCUUACAAGCUCAAUUCAUCAUCUGUGCCAUUUCCAUAAAGAACAAACACUUUCUCCAGAGAUUCCCCCCCCCCCCCCCCCCCCUCUCUCUCUCUUCUUCAAGAAACCGCUGUGAAGGAAUCCUGCCAACCAUCAGACUGAAGACCAUUCUGCUGUUGAGUUGAUCCAUUGUCACCAGUUUGGAUGAUCGGUCAGCAUGUACCAUCCAUCCAUCCUAUAAGUAAGUUCCUUAUAGUCAUAUCAAUUUCCUUGGUUGCAAUCCCAUGAACCUGCUCUUCUAAUGCAAUCAUUAAUGAAAAGAAAGAUUUGAAUUAUGUGACUGAGCCCAUGAAUUUCUAUAUGGAGAAGAAGAACUAACGGAUAUACCGAAUUUGUUGUAGUUUUAGGAUUAGGAAUUGAUACUGGUAGAUUUGACCAGAUUAUGGUUCUGGUUCUACAUGCAUAAGUCAAAUUGAUGUGAGAAUAAUGAAAUUAUUUAUUCACUGCAAUGAUGUGGUGCUGCAGCUGGUGUUACCAAUAAUGUAACCAACCCUUGUGACAGUAAAAUUAGCGGUCUGUAGUAUCACAACGCACAAGCAUAUAUUUAAACUGUAAUGUGCCUGGGGCACCACAAGUAAAUCUUACCAAACUCCUGUAGACACUUUGAACCGAGAACUUUGAAUGUUUGGUAGCAUGUAUAGUAUUUAAGUCUCUACCAACAUGAAUUUGAGUUACUCUCUCUUUAAUCAGUUGUUUGUUCGUCUUCUGUUCUGUUGUUUCAUCAUGUGGUUAUUUAGCAGAAAGGGUCCAUCGGUUUCUCAUCUUCAUCCACAGCAGAGGAAGUUACACAAGGAAUCGAUGGAAGUGGUCUCACUGCUAUUGUCACAGGUAAAAACUAUUAAUUACUUUUUCUUGGGUAGAUCAAACUAUUAAUAAGGGUAGAAGUCUGCAACAACUACAGAACUACUUCGUGCAAUCAUGUUCUUAUCAGGUAGAUCGUAGACUUCAUUCUUUUUUGUUAACUUGUCUUGGGGAGCAUUUCAUGCAAGCUCUGAUGACUUGAUUUGGUUAUUGGUUUUGCUCACUGAAGGAGCAUCAAGUGGUAUUGAUGCUAAUACAGCACGUGUUCUUGCCUUACGUGGCGUACAUGUUGUCAUGGGAGUCAAAAAUAUGGUUGCAGGGGUGAAUGUCAAAGAAGCAAUAGUCAAGGAAAUCCCUGCUGCCAAAGUUGAUGUAAUGGAGCUAGAUCUGAGCUCAAUGGAAGCAGUAAAGAAAUUUGCCGCUGAGUACAAUUCCGCUGGUCUUGCUUUGAGCAUCCUCAUGUGAGAUAAUUUAAGAUUAAGAACUAUAUGCAGUUUCUUAAACGAUAUAUGUAUUUUGUAGAAGUGACUUCACUGGGGUGUUUUCUUCAGUUACUCUUUACAUGUUCGCCGUGUUGCAGUUUCAAAUUUCAAUAUUUGUGACAAACAAUUUUCUGUGAUGAUGUAAUAAUGCAGGAGUCCUGGAUUUUCAGUUCAAGCUUUCCCAAGAUAACAUAGAGCUGAAUUUUGCAACAAACCACCUAGGUAUGUGACACAUAUUUUGUUCCACGUAUUUCAGAAAAAUAAUUUGGAUGGCUGAAAAAGAAUAUAUUUAUAGCUUCAAGUUCCGAAUGAACAGUGUGUAGCCAUUGACAGAGGAUCAAUAAUUUUGUCUAUUAACCUUAUUCCUCUAUUCUUUACACAUUAGCCUUCUACUUCUUCUUUUUGUUCUUUGCUGAGUUGGGAUAGAUGUAUCUUAGAUUCAUUCAAUAGGAAGCAUUAUCCCUGAACCACAGCACAACUGUAAAGAACAGUGGGUGGCCCUCUAAAUUGUGGGACAUUGACGCUCUGUGCUUUUCGUUAAAAACUGGAGGUAAAACUUUGACGCUCUGUUUUAUUUUCCUUGUUCUCAUGCAGGCAUUUCCCAUGCAUUAGGCAAAUUUUUGGUGCAAAAUGUUCAGCAGGUGGAUUGUAUUUUCAGCAAUAUUUUUUUUUCACAAGAUACAAUUCUAAUUUUUAUUAGUUGAUGAUUCUCUCAUCUCACUGGACAUGGUUGCAGGGUGCGGCAACUACAUGCUAUGUGGCCUUGAAUCCACAGGGGGUAUAACUGUAUAAGUGGUGAAUACUUUGAGGACUGUAACAUAGGAAAUCCAAGCGCACUAGCUAAAGAUACAGAGCUAACUAAAAAACUCUGAUUUCUGAAACAUUUCUCAGUGGUUUGUUCUGUUGAUCAUAUGCUUGACCAUGUGUUUCAUAAAAAUAAAAGGGUCUACAUGUAAAACCUAUUUGAAGAUUUAUAUGUUACCGGGUUGACCUCUUGAUAUUAUCUUUCUGUUGAACUCUUUUGCAACAUGUCUGUUCAUUUUCUUUUGUGAAGUAAGGGCAUCUCUAAUGGUUCAUCAAAUUUGAUGGUCCACGUAUACACAUUUGAUGCUACUUUGAUGAAAAAUUUGCUUUGAAAAUCUGCUCCAUCUAAUGGUUCAUCAACAAAGCGGCUAAUAGAUGACCGCUUCACUAAAGCGGGCCUCCAACACCCGCUUCACUUAGUUAAAGCGGCUAAUGGAUGACCGCUUCACUAAAGCGGGCCCCCAACACCCGCUUCACUUAGUUAAUGGGGCUGUCCAAGUGCCACUUAGUUAAAGCGGGCUUUGAAGUGCCACUUUAAGCGGCACUUCAUUAGCCGCUUUAAGUGAUUUAAGUGAAGCGGUCUUCUCUUGCCCGCCUCACCCAGUAUCAAACCUUAAGUUUUUCAUCAAAAUUUCAUCAAAUUUGAUGAACUUUUGAUGAUUUUUGCUAACAUAUCAAAUUUGAAAAAGUUUUGAUGGUCCAUUAGAUGGAGUUUUUUUGACUUUUUCAUCAAAUUUGAAUUUGAUGAAAGAUUUGAUGAACCAUUAGAGAUGCCCUAAGGCAUGGUAGGUCGUUUAUCUUCAUGUAUUUAUAUCCCCAUCCUCUACAUAAAACUAUUAUUUCAUUCCUCAAUCGUAUAAACCAAUGAAGUGUGUGCUCUUUGAUCAGAAAUAUGAAAGUAUGGGAAGGUAUAAAGAUCGACAGAGAGAUUAUAGCAAAGUGACGGUAAUAUUUCGUAACCAUACUACAUUCUGCCAUUACAAAAAUGUCCUGACAAUACAGUAACAGAGUUCUUCAUACAGUGUGGCCAAUGACUACAACCUUGACAAAGUAAAAUUUGACAAUAAGAAAAGACAGGAAAAGGGCAUUCUAGAUUUGCUUACAAGCUCAAUUCAUAAUCCAUGUCAUGUCCGUAAAGAACGAACACUUCUGUUCCAAGUUUCAUCCCUCCUUCAAGAAACUGCAGUGAAGGAUCGAUACCUACCAUAGGACUGGAUUUCACUUCUUGGAGUACAUGGACUCCACCUUCCCAUCAUUGCCUCCCAGUAUCAGGUACUUGUCUUUCCUAGUAAAUCCAGUACAUUCAAAUCCUAGAGUCCCAGCAAUUACUUUUUGCACAUGAUUUGCUACAUCAAUAGAGGACUUGCCCCCAGCCUUGACUGUCAUCUCCUCGGGCAGAAGGUCCAGAAAAGUUACCUCAUAAGUUGGCCUAGGAUUCAUGAAGUAAAAGUAAGCAUCCCAAAACUUCACUCCUCUGACUGUAGUGCCGUGGAACAUAUUUUGCUUAGUAUUGAUUGCAACAGGAACAAUGCGAUCACUCAGUUCAGCAAACAACGCACUAAACCUUAACAAGAAUGGUUCACGGCAUGUAGUUCCUUCAGGACAUACUACUAAAUCACCCUUUUGAAGAAGAUCUGAAAUGCGAGCUGCAUCAGCUGCACGAUCUCUAGUCAAAGAAAUAGCCGGGAUAGGAGAGAGGAGUUGGGAUAAGCGGCUAACACUGUAUGUUACACAUGAGACUUUGCGACCAAGGGCAAUGGCUAUAACAAUUGGAUCAAGAGCAGUGCGAUGAUUGCAAACAUAGAGUGAGCCAGGGGAUCCGUGGGAAGGUUUAGGGGGUGGGUUUCCACGGAUUACAAGUUUGAUGCCAAGUAGGCCAUAAGUGUGUCGAACAAUGCGUUCAGGUAGAGGAAGGUUGAAGUAGACACGAAUAAGGGAAAGGAUGAAUCCAAAUGGCAACCAUAGGAAUGUGAUGAGGGCAUUUAAUGGUGUAGGUCGUUGCACAAAGCGACCAUCAUGGAAGACAAUCCGGCUCUUGAGUUGAUCCAUUGGCACCGGCUUGGCUGAUCGGUCAGCAUGUACCAUGUAUCCCUCCUGUAAUUUAAUUAGUCAGAUCAGUUUUUCUUAGUUGUAAUAACAACAUCAUUACAUCAUUAACAUGCUCUCUUUAGUAAUCAUCAAUGAAAACAAACAUUCCUGAAUAGGUCCUUAAAUUAUGAAUUGGAACUGGUAGAUUUGACAAGAUUUUCUGGUUCUAAACUUCUAGGUACUGAAUGAAGAAAUCAGACCAGAAACACUGCAUUGACAGUCCUACUUACAAAGUUUUACAAGUCAAAAAAUUCAACUUGUUCAUUUGUGGGGUAGAUGGUAAUAAAUCCGUCAUAAAAAUACCCCCACAAAUACAGCUCAGACACACCUAAACAAAAGCACAGAUUUCACAUUUUUAUAGUAAUUGCAAACUGACUAAAGGGUUCCCUCCUCAAGAUUUAGAGUGUAAUAAAGUCCUAUCCUCAUUUGUAGUACUCCUCACAUGAACUUGUUCACAAAUACAAAGCAUGACAAUGACAGAUCAUAAAAGAAAUUUAUGUGAGCAAAAUGCUCUUAUUCAUUCACUUUAAUAACGUGGUGGUGGUGGUGGUGGUAGUACACAUCACUAUGCUUUUGAUCUUAUGUAGAUAUCAACACUUGAAAAUUACUGAAAUCUAAUGAAAAUCAUUCUUACCGACAUCGAGAUCAUUAAUCAAAAUUUGGAACAAUAGCAUGUAUUCAGUCAAAUUACAUUCACAACAUUAACAAAUUUAACAAAAUCCAAACCAAGAAUUGUGAACAUAAAAGACGAAAAUUACUAUGAUCAACCAAACAGACCCUAAUUAAAUAUAAAAAAAAAAAUUAACUAACCUUGCAAACAGACAUAAAAUCAUGAUCCGUUUCACGAUCUCCAAUUCCAAAAUCGGGCGAAACAUCACCAAACUCAUUCAAUAUCGCCGAUUUCUUCAAUUUCGCAACUAAAACACCUGGUUUCUUAACAAAUCCAGUUGCUCUCCCUGUUUUUGGAUCAACUUCAAUCUCUGUUCCCAAAACUUUAUCACCACCAAGAAAAUCUUUCACAAAUGGUUCAACCAUAACCGUUGGAUUUGCAGUAAUCACAACUUUUCUUUUACACUUAUUGAAUAAUUCCCAACUUUCUUUUCUUACAUCAGAAGCAUAGAAUCUUGGUAACACGGCUCUUGAUACAAGUUCAAUGUCGCGGAUUUUUAAACCGGCAUAUGAUAUGUAAAUCAGAAUUUGAAUUCCGAGUGAUUCUGAUAUGAAUAAGUAUGAGAUUAUUAUCAGAGGUGUUGAGAGAAGAAGAAUUAAACCACGAAGUAAACUACCAGCUUCAACUGCUACGAGCAUGAAAUAAGGGAAUGAACUUCGUGAGAUGAGUAAUGUGCCGUCGAGAUCGGCGGCGAUUGAUUCAGUUCCGCCGUUUGAUUCAUUGCGAUUUGUUAUUGAUGGGAAAUUUCGGUGCCGAAGAGACAUGUUUUCGGCCGAAACGUUUUCUUGAAUUCUGUUUUAGAGAGAGAAGAGAGAGGACAGAGGAGUGAUAUGGAGGGAAGAAGAAAAGGAAUGAACGUUGAUGGUGGUUUUAAAUGAGAAUUUAGGUAAUGAAAGUACAUUUAUAACCUUAGAGUAUUUUGCAUUUACGUGUAUGCCAAGGGACCGAAUUGAUACACCACUGAGUAAUUCAUCCACCCUCAGUCCAUCCGUCCAUAAUACCAUAAAAACGGUGGAUUAAUAUAAACAAAAUUUGUUUAAAAGGUGCCCUUAUUGAUUAUUUGAUAUUCUAAGACAUUCCUUCGCAACCAAAAAAAAAUAAAAAAAUUCUUUGAAUUUAUCAAUAAAAUGGUUUUAUUUUUAAAAAAAAAUAAUAAAAUGUAAAAAAAAUAAUGUGACAUUUAUGUUCUUUAUAAAAUGUCUAAAACUCUAAAAUUUGAUCCAUGUUCACAGUUGUGGGAAUAUAUUGUAUAGGAUUUUACAGGUACCUUUGUCCUAUUGGACUGAUAUAGUUAAAAUUAAAUCAUUUAGUCGAAAUAGAUCAAGUUUACGAACCAUUUGUAAUGUUUGUCAGUGCAUUACAAGGGUGGCAAAAAUUUGGGCCACUGAUCCAACCAGCUGACAACCAACAACGAUAUGAUAUAUUGAUAUAUAUGUCCUCAAUUGAUAAUGACAACGUAAAGCUAGUUAUACUGCGGACGUAACAGAUUAUAUGGACUAUAUGGAGUACUUAGGAGUUAGGAAGAAGUUAUGAUCGAUGUCCAAUUGUCUAUUUAAGCGUAGGAAAAGCCAGCAAAGUAGUUGAGCAUCCAUGGGGAAAAAAUCCUUCACUGGUGAACAGAUAUAAUGAGGGUUCAAGAGUCGACUUCAACUUCAAGCAUCUUGGUUUUACAAAAGCAGCAAUGUAACUUGUAAAUGUGGAUUCGGGACCAUAUGGUCUCUGACUGUUUUUAAUCUCAAUUUGUAUACUGUAUGUGUUAAUAGCUUGUAAAUCUGUUUAAUGAAGAUUUUUUGUAUUUUUUAACCUCUCAAAAAUAUUUAUUGUCCUCUCCCAAUCUCCACAGACAUAGUAAAUCAGAUUAUUUGUCCCAUAUAAGCACCGUCCCUGUUGGAACCGGAAGUUAUGUUUCUCACAAGUCACAAGUCAACUGAUUAUGUUUUUAAUGGUGAAUGGUCUGGUUAGUGAGUAGCAUUUCUUAGAUUUAAUUUGCUGAAAGUGGUUGAUAGUUUGGAGAACAGCACUAAUUAUUUUCGAUAACCAAUUUUAGUUUUAAUUUGAUAUCAUGUAUGUAUAAUUUUCUUUGUCAAACUCAAACAAAAUUUCAAUGUUUUGCAGCCUACUUCCCAUUUGCAGGUACAGUAAAACCUGUCUAAAUGCACAGCCCUUGGGACCAACGAACAAUGUACAUUUGUAAGGGGUGUGCAUUUAUAAAGUAAAAAUAAACAUAUCCUUAUUAUAUGAGACUAAUAUUUUUUAUGCAUUUACAUAAGAUGUGCGUUUAUAGGGUGUGCAUUUAGACAGGUUUCAUUGUACCCUAUAACUCUAUCAACAGUCAGUUGAGAAGUUUGGAUCUCAAAACCUCUCCUUAAAGUGAGAGGACUGCAUUACAGUUGAGCUAUUUGGUCGAAAGUCGAAAUUUUUAAUUAAUUGGUAGCAUAAUCUUCAAAUUACUACAUUAAUGGACGACCCAUUCAUAAAAAUAACAUGUGUUCUUUGACAAGAAAUUCGAUAAGAUGAGACUAAUUCAAGAUAAUACGCAAUAAAUUUUGCACCUAACUUGAUGUACACUAAAAAGUAUUGAGACAAUGUGAGCGCAAGGCCUUGUCGGCCUACUCCUCCAUGUGCGAAGACUAAAUACUUAGCUAAUACUCACUGUAGUAAGAUCUGAUCAUUCAGGUUCUUAUCAACCAGUGGAUAUAUAUUCAUUAAAUGCUGCUUUAUUUGGUGUUACAACUCCCACCAACUUCACCUAUCUAUCUACCAAUAAACUUUGCAUUGAACUAUAGAUCAAGUUAUUUGUGCAGUUCCCCUAUUUGAUUUUGAUAUGAUUUAUUCUUUUGGUAGAUAACUGUUUGGUAUGAAACUUUGCCAAAUCACCUCUAUUAAGAAAGUCUUCUUGCAAUUGUUUACCGUAUACGACGAAAGACAGAAAGAGUUACGCACUUAAUUACGCCUGCAAAAUGUAGGUAUAGCAUGCAUUAAGAAACUAGACUCGAUUGAAUUUUUUUUUUUUUUGAUAACAAGACUAGAUUGAAAUUUGAAAUAUCGAAUGCAUAUCUUUAGCAGAUCGGCCGUAUGCCCGUAUGUGUAUUAGAAUCAGAUUGCGAGUACUGUAAAAUUAUGUUGUUAGGUACAUGGCAUAUAGGUUACCAUAAAAAAAAAGAAGGUACAUGGUAUGAAAAGAGGCACCAUGUUCCAAUCCAGUUAUGGAGCACGACUGUGGUUUCUUCUUGUUUGACUUUGUUGUCCCUCUCCAGUUUGUGAAUUCAGAUCUAAAAUUAUGACUUGGACUCUCUGCAGUUUGAUCUGUUAAUGUGAUCUCUGAUAUUGUGAGGAGUUUGUAACAAAUUCGUUGCAUGUCAUGAUUCAAUGGUUGCCCAUGCCACAAUUUUUGUGUAUGGUUUGUUUGUAACAUGAGUCAAAAGUAUCUUGCAAAAGUAUGUUGCAUAUUUGUGGAAAUGAUUUUGAAGACACAUAAGAACAAAACGAGAAAGAAAACCCAUAUGAGCUUUUUUUCAAAAGCCCAAUCUAAGUAAUAAGGUACCCAGCCGCACAAGUUUAAAUUACUUGGAUUGGGUGCCAAUAUCUAGAUGGGUACUUGGAUUUGAACCCACCAUAAUAAUCAGAUUAGUCCUACCAAUCCAAAAAUAUGCCCAGAGUCCCAGACAAAACAUAGUUACUUAUUGGGCUGACAGCCCAUCUCAAAUCAUUUGCUGAUUUGGUCCAACUGUCUAAGGGUUACUCGGGCUUUGGUAGCACUGCUGAUCUUGAAGGUUUGGUGGUGCUCUGGUGGAUUUGCAGAGCAUGGAGUCAAAUUAUGGCGGAUCCGUGUAGUUGUGGACAGCACUCAGCAGACAGCUCGGCUUUUGCUCAGAGCUCAUGAUUGAAUACCACUGAUAAAAAUGAGCCUGUCUCAUGACGUUGACGGUCAUCGGUAUAAAGAGCUCAAAAUUACAGCAGAGACUUAUUCAAAAGGACAGAAACAUAUAGUUUCUUAUUGAAAAGGGUUUUAAAGUCAACAAAUUUUGGACUAAAAUACCCACUCUAAUCAUUUUUUAUUUUUUUAAUAACCAUAAUAUUCAUAGAAGAAGUUUUACAGGUUCUCACUGUUACAGAACAACAGAUCCAAUUCCAGUUGGUAACACAGCCAUACUGGUGGAAAAUAAAAGGAACAGGGAUUGGUGUUGCUCAGUUUUGCCUUAGCUGCUAGCAAAUGAGCACAUUCAUUCUCUGUCCUAUUACAGAAAGAAAAACUAACAGAAUGAAAAAACAAGGAAAGGUUCUUGACUUGAUCAAGAAUACUGCUUGCAGUCCAGGAGAUAUUAACAUCCCUUCCCGCCAGAUAGAGUGCAGCGUUCUGACAGUCAGUUUCGAGGACCACGUCCUUCAGUUGUUGUUUGAGCCCUGCUCUGAGUGCUGCGAGGAUUCCAUAGCAUUCAGCUUCUUCAGCAUUGGUUGCAUUCCCGAUUUCAGUUUCUGCAAGAAUAAGCAUACCAUGGUGUGAUCUUAUGAGAUAACCAAUACCAAUCACAGAGUCUGAAUUGAUGAAGGAUAUAUCAACAUUGAUUUUGCAGAAGUCAUGUGGUGGGGGAAUCCAAAUAGAGCCACAGGUUGCUCGUCCAACCUGUUUAUUGCAAGUAGGUGUAAUGGUGGAUGCAUUGUGAUGUCUAGCAACAUUAUAAUCAAUGAGUUUUGCCACUCUAGUAGGGUGUAAUAAAAUAUUUUCAAAAAUCUUUUUGCACCUACUUUUCCAAAUUUCCCAAGCAGCAUACACACAAAAGGAACUCCAUUUUUCUUUUUCAACAAGCCAUUCUUUGGUAUGCAUGAACCAAAGUUUUAUCCAGUCAAUAGUAGGCAUGUUUUUUAAGUGGGUAACUCUCAAGCUAAGGCUGCUGUUGUACCAAACACUAUGGGUAUAGGGAAUUCCAGAAGCAUAUGUCUUAUGCUUUCCACAAUACAACCACACAUAGGACAAGAUAUAGAAGGGAUAGGGACAUGUUUUCCUAUUCUUUCUCUAGUAGGGACAACUUCAUUGAGACACUUCCAAGCAAAAAGUAUGGACCUAGGAGAGGCCUGCACUUUCCAUAUCUUGAGGUUUAUCUUAGCAUGAGUGGGAUGCUCAAGGUUUUCAGUGCUGAGCAGCCUAUACAUAGACUUGACAUUGAAGAUACCCUUUUUUGUUCCCAUCCAAAUGAUCUUAUCCUUAGCAUGAUGGUUCGAGAUAACAGUAUUCUUGAUGUGAGUGGAGAUAUGAUGGUUGAAGUGAUGUUCAAGAAGGGAGGUGUUCCAGCAGUUCGAGUUGGGGAGGAUGAAUUGAUUUACAGUUUUGAUGUGAGAAAUAUUAGAAGGUCUAGCAUCAUUGGGCAGACUGAAGGUGGGGAGGCUAGGGAUCCACGGAUCCUCCCAAAUGUUGACCAGAUUACCAUUUCCUAUUUUCCAGCAGAUAUGAGGAAUCAUUUUAGUGAUGGUGCCGGAUAUGGACUUCCAAAUCCAAGAAGAGGAUGAAUUUUGGUGGACUCUAAGGAAGUUAGAGUUACCAAAAUACUUAGAUUUUAGGACUUUAGAACACAGGUUGUCAGGAUUGGAGAGAAUUCUCCAAACAAUACGACCAAGGAGGGCAUCAUUUUGGAAGUUGAGGUCCUUAAUUCCAAGACCACCCCAUUUUUUAGGAAGACAAAUGUGGCUCCACUUUUUGAAAUGCAUAGUUCUCUUAUUAGUAUCCUUAGUCCCCCACCAGAAAUCUCUUUGGAGUUUAGUAAUAUUAUCAAUUAUAGAUUUGGGAAUUUUGAAGCAUGUCAUUUGGUAGGAGGGGAUAGCAGAGGUGACCGAGUUAAUAAGAAUGGUUCUACCAGCUUGGGAGAGGACUUUUGAUUUUCACCCCUCAAGUCUUUUCUUAACUCUAGAAGACAAGUUUUGGAACAGUGGAUUUUUUUCGACCUAAGAAAAGGGGAGUGCCAAGGUACAUAUCUUCAUGCUUGAGAGGAUUCAUUUGAAGGAUACCAAGGAUGAUGGUUUGGAGAUUGUUAGGUGUGUUACCACUAAACAAAACUCCAGAUUUGGAAAAGUUUAUUUGUUGUCCAGUAAUGGAACAGAAUGUCUCAAGAGUUUGGAGAAGUUCAUUUGCCUCAAGAAUGUUCGCUUUACAGAAGAUAAAUAUGUCAUCAGCAAACAAAAGAUGAGAGAUAGCAGGGCUAUUUCUAGAGGCUUUAAUACCAUGAAUCUUCCCUUGGGCACACUUCUCAAAAAGCAUUCUAGAAAGGAUUUCCAUAGAGAGGAUGAAGAGAGAGAGGGGGAGAUGGGGUCACCCUGUCUCAAUCCACAAGAGGGUUGAAAGUAACCAUUAGGGGAACCAUUUAUUAUGAUAGAGGAGUGAAUAGUAGAUAUGCAUUUAUUGAUGAGUUGGAUGAAUUUUGAUUCAAAACCUAGGGAUUUUAGGAUGGUGAGAAGGCAUUCCCAAUUUAUUCUAUCAAAAGCUUUGGACAUGUCAAUUUUGAUAGCCAUAAGUCCUUCAAUCCCUUGUUUUUUCCUAAUGGAAUGGAGGAUUUCAUGAGUGAGAAUAACAUUAUCAGAGAUUUGUCUGGUGGGCACGAAUGCACAUUGAAGGGGAGAGAUGAUUUUAGGUAGAAAUUCCUUAAGUCUUUCAGCAAGGAUUUUAGAUAGAAUUUUGUAGUUGACAUUACACAAACUGAUGGGCCUGAAUUGACUAGGGUGCGAGGGAGCUUCACAUUUAGGGAUGAGAGCAAUAUUAGUAGUAUUAAUAUGCUCAAUAGAGGCACCAUUGUUGAAGAAGUUUUGGACAAGGCUGUGAAGGUCUUUAUUAACCAAAUCCCAAGAGUUUUGGUAGAACAAGCUUGGGAAACCAUCAGGCCCAGGUGCCUUGAGAGGCCCAAUGUCAAAAAGGUGGUGCUUUAUGUCUCCCAUGGAGACAUUGCCAUUGACAAAUUCAUUGUCCUCCUCAGAGAUGCAAGGAGGGAAAAGAUUGCAUAUGAGUUGAAUUUGAUUGGUUUGGAGAGGGUUGAUUAUGGGUGAGAGGAGGUUAGUGAAGUGAUUAACAAAGAUUUGACCAAUCUCUUUAGGGUUUUGGGUGAUCUCAUUAGAAUUGUCCAGGAUAGCUUCAAUUCUAUUAUUGUUUCUUUGGAUGAUAGUGGAGAUAUGAAAAUAACUUGUAUUUUUAUCUCCAACAGCGAGAAUAGUAUCACUGGAUUUCUGUUUCCAUAACAUUUCUUCUCUCUUAAAUAUUUCAUCGAGUUCAUGAGUGAGAAGUUUUUCGUUGUUUUUAUUGUUUUCAGAGAAAGGAGCAGCUUGAAGAGUAGCGAUUUUAUUUUUCAGGAUGGAAAUAUUCUUGAAUACAUUCCCAAAGACUCUCUUGUUCCAGGUGAUGAGAGCUUUUUUAGUGGACUUCAGGUGAUAAGUUAAAAAAUACUCAUCAAGGUUGCAAUGAACCCUUUUCCAAGCCAUGUCGACUACAUUGGAGUAGUUUUCAUCUCUAGUCCACAUAGACUGAAAUUUGAAAGGUUUGGGAGAAUUAUUGAUGGUUGGCUUUAGAUUCAGGAGGAUGGGACAGUGAUCAGAGGUAAUAGCUGGCAGAUGAUAUAAUUUUGCCUCAGGGUAGAUAAGCUACCAACUAGGGGAGACAAGACUUCUAUCCAACCUUUUCCUAAUAUUAUGGGACCCACUUCUUUUAUUGCACCAGGUAAAGGGUUCACCUACAAACCCUAAAUCUAUUAGACCUAAGAGCUGAAUGAUGUCAGCAACAAAUUGGCUUUCUUUUCCAUCAAAGGGGAGGCCUCCACUUUUUUCAAAAGAGUUAAGGAUGAUAUUAAGAUCACCAAUAGCCAUCCAAGGGUAGAUAGAGGUUUCACAGGCAUGGUGCAGGAAACUUCAACUAAGAGUUUUCAUAUGCAGAUAAGGGCUCCCAUAGAAGAAGGAAAAGGUGAACAUGUUUUUACUUUUAGGAUGUAAGAUAUCAGCAGUGAUUAUGUAUCUAUUAGAGUGCUUAAUAGUUAUGCUGAUAUGGUUAUCCCAAAGAAGGACAAGCCCUCCAGCCUGGUGGAUAGGCUCCACAUAAUGGUGAUGAGGAUACCUAGUGGAUAGAAUAAGGUCCUUAGUAGCUUGAGGUGAGGCUUUAGUUUCAGAAAGAAAGAUUAUAUCAGGUCUGUAGUCAUUUAUAAGAUUUAUUAGGGUUCUGCCAGUACUCUCAUUCCCACACCCUCUACAGUUCCAGCAUAAAAAAGACAUUUUUAAAAACAAGUAUAGAUUAGCAAAACUCUAAGAUUAUAGCAAACAUUAAUCACAAGUAAAUGAAACCAGAACCCAACAAGAAUAAACAGAGGAGGAGGUAAGUAUAUGUCCUUUAAUAUGUAGAAGGAAUCCUCAGUAUUAGCAGUGUGCCUAGGAGUAAGAAGCUCCAAAUUAUAGUAACAACAGUUGUAAUGACAAGAUGACAAGUAGUGAUGUUGAUUGUGAAGGUGUGAUAAUGUAGAUGUGAAGCGGCAAGAAUAAUUUUGCAGUAUGAUGAGUGUGUAUAAGAGCGUGAUAAAUAGUAGUGGGGAUUGAGUGUGAGUACCAAUAGCUGAAAUGUAUAUGAAUAGAAAGAUGGGUGUUAGGGGAACUUACCUGUAAAUGAUUGUCACUAGAUGAAGGAAAUUGCAGCGGAGCAGCAUUGUGAACAUUACUUGGCUGAACACCCAUACUCAGAUCCAAAGCAUACUGGAUCUGACGCUCUUCAGUAUCACCAUAGGGGUCAAAAGUGAUAUGAUGUUGUUCGAUAUCAGAAGACGGAGCAGUAGACUGAUUGUUAUAAUUUAUCUGUGUAGCCCUUGAAACCUCCAGAACUGGAAUAUCAGAUGGUCUUGGAUUUGAAAUUUGGGGAACCGAUCGAUUUGUAAUAUCAAUCCAUUCAGGUAAUGGAGUCAUCUUUGGCUUAGUAGUCUGAAUUGGAAUGUGAUUUAGAAUUUCAGGAUUGAGGAGCCCUUGAGUGACCAGGAGAGACGUCAACUCAGGGUUUUCAAUCAAUUACAUCACCAAGGUGAGAGCUUGCGAGCUUGGAACGACCCCACUCUAUCAUAAGUCAAAUCAUAUAUAAAUUUUAUUUUUAAACAAAACACUAUAAGAGCAUUCCCAAUGGUAGGUAUUAGCACACUUUUCAAGCAAAACACUUUUAACUCCUUGGCAAAUUUGCCAAAGAGUUAAAAGUGCCACGUAGGAAUCCAUCCGCCACAAUUAGUGCGGCAUGGAUCCAUACCUCACAAUAAGUGCGGUAUGGAUCCAUACCCCACAAUUAAUGCGGUAUGGACUCAACUAAAAGAAGAUCCAUCCGCCACAAUGAGUGCGGUAUGGAUCCAUAACUUUACUAAGCUAGCCGUCUCGCUGUUGUCUCUAUGCAGAUUGCAGAAUCUCUUAUACUUAAUUUCAACCGUUGGAUUGAUGAACUAUUUUGCUUCGAGAUAGUAAACACUCCACUUAAGUUGAAAUUUCCUUGCUGACUAUUACUUGACUUGGAGCUUUGUUCUUCUUCUUCUUGUUGUUCGAGUAGAGAGGAUUUGGAGUAAAAUAAACCGAUUAAGUUGAUUUUGUUUAGAAGGAGAAAUCAAUGUGGUUAUUUAGCAAAAAAGGUCCAUCUGGUUUCUCAGCUUCAUCAACAGCAGAGGAAGUUACACAAGGAAUUGAUGGAACUGGUCUUACUGCUAUCGUCACUGGUGAAACAUUUAAACUAUAAUUAAUAACUUACAUAUGAUUUGGGUUUUCUGUUUUCUUGUUAUUAAACACGAAUUUAUGAUGUGUUAAUUUGAUAACUUACAUAUGAUUUUUAUGUUUGUUGUUGUUGUUGGGUUUUUUUUUUUCUUGGUUCACUAUCAAUUAUUGAGAAAAAUUUAAAAGAAGUGGGAUUACAUGAUUGGUUACAGUAUUUUCUUUUGUUAUUCUGGUUAGUUCUUUGACGUGGGGUUGUAUAAAAUAUUUAGGAUUUUUUUUUGCUGACCCUUAACUAACCUGUAUUAAUUUAUCAUGUAAUACACCCAUUUUUAUCAUCCUGAACAAGUCUACUCAUAAGACUACAGAAAGGAUAUUAAUAAUACCCCCUCACUUCACUAAACUUUAUGUGCACCUGACCUGAUGAGGACUUAAAUUUGUAGUUGGGAACUUUGCAUAUUUAGGGAUUGGGAUCUGAAUAAUUUCAAUUUAGUGGUUGGUAGUAAAGUGUAGUCAUCAUCUAGAGUACAGUGUCCAAAAUGAAUAUUCAAUAGAGGGUAAUUUAUUUGAUAAGUUACUAUCAAUGUGGUUGUAAGGUUCUGUCGUUAUGUGUAGUGGGAAAUUUAUUGGAUAAGUUAAUAAUAUACUAUGUGUCACUCACCGACAAGGACAAUUAGGAGAUUCACAGAGAACUCUAUAUACAGUAAGUGUGGUAAAUUGCAUCUAGCAUGUGUUGCAUUCUCUUAGGGUCUGAUUGAUUCGAGCGGUAAAUUGGUUUACCGGUGAAAACGGAGGACACAGGUUGUAAUUUAAAUUUUAAGGUCGGAGAAGAAGGCACGAAGUGAAGAGAGAGUUUUAAGAUCUCUACCUACCUUAUUGUGCAAUUAAAAGUAUACCCCUCUAAAAAAAUUUACUGGGAAAGAUUCCCACCCGAAUCAAACAGACCCUAUUAGAUGUUUUAUUAGUAGUUCUACUCAAAACAUUACUUUUACCUGCAUUUGUAUUUUUAGGUUCUUUUCUGUUCUAAUUUAUAUGCAAGUGAGAGAUAAAUGAUGAUAAUGUUUAGCAGUCCAGUUACUGACCGUUUGAUAGUCAUAAAAAGUUUAUAGAUAUGUAUGUGUUGGUGUCUUGGUAGCUUAUGUUGUGAAAUGCAUUUGGAUUCCCAUCUCCCCUUGUCAAAUUUUGUAAGUAUUUCAUACUAGUUCUAUCAUUUUACGUCAAUGGUUUGAUCUCAUUGAAGGAGCGUCCACUGGUAUUGGCGCUGAGACAGCGCGUGUACUUUCAUUGCGUGGAGUCCAUGUAGUCAUGGGAGUAAGGAAUAUGGCAGCUGCUGCAACUGUCAAAGAAGCAAUCGUCAAGGAAAACCCCACUGCUAAAGUUGAUGUAAUGGAGUUAGACCUCAGCUCAAUGGCAUCAGUGAAGAAAUUCGCCUCUGACUUCAAUUCUGCGGGUCUUCCUCUGAAUAUCCUCAUGUAAGAAAUAAAAGAGCUACUAUAUGUAGUCUUCACACAAAAAAUACAUUUAUAGUGGUCGUUAUUUAGCUAGCCUCUCAACAUCUUGAACUCUUAAGCCUGCUUAGUUUUAAUAGUUUGACGAAUAGUUUUCUAUGUUGGAAGUAACAAUGCAGGAGUGAUGGCAUGUCCCUUCAUGCUUUCCCAAGACAAGAUAGAGAUGCAAUUUGCAACAAACCAUGUAGGUACGUUGUAUAUAUGAUCCCUUCUAUUUCCCAAAAUCUAUGUCGAUGGUUGUUGUAAAAAAAGUUUCCUGCUGACAACAAUGCAUGUACACAUUAGCUUUUCGAAACAUGUACAUGUGAAUGUUGUGAAAUAUUUCAUAAGACUUACGAUUUGAGUAGCCAUUAGCCAUCUAUUUACUGGCAAUUCAAUGUACUUUUUUUUAUCAAAGAUAGAAAUAUAUUAAUCACCAAAUGAGAACCUUUCAAUCCUGAACAGCGAGUGGUCACUCCGUCGGGUACUACAAUAAGAAAAAGAAAAAGAAAAAAACAAACACGCACACACAUAGACGUACAGACCCUUGUACCUGACCCAUAGAGAUCAUAGCACCUGAAUAAGACCCGUAAUCUCAACCUCAUAGUUAAAGACCAAUUUCGCAGCAGAUCAGAGAAGUAAUGUUUGCUUCGUUCCUUCAGACUUUCAGGUUGCAUAGCCAUCCAUGCCCAUAAAGAAGCCUUGACCAGUUGACCCUGGUAGUCGCAGUCUCAACCGAGAAGCUUGCUUCCUUAAAAAUCACCUUGUUCCGCAUAGUCCAUACACACCAGACAACCCCGUAUGGCACUAGUCCCCACAAAUAUGACCUCUGGGUGAUGAUACCAGAGGUCUGGGGUUCAAUCCCAGGCAGUGCAUCUUUGAGUUACUGAUCUCAUUAAAACAGGCUUGCCGAUCAAAAAAAAAAUAAAAAAAAAUAUGACCCCAUAUGGCAAUUCAAUGUAUCUGAGUAAGUUUCAGAACAUAGAACCAUUUCAUGACAUUUAUAUCUGUUCAAUUUUUUUCAAUACUGUGCAAGAACUGAAUCAUCUUUCGUUGUUUUGCUUUGAUUAUGUUAUAUGGAUCUAUAAAGUUUGGUUGGUUUUCUUGAUGAUUCCGAUUACAUCUGAUUCAAACCAUAUCUGACGAUACCUGGAAAUUUUACUUUGAUGCAAACCCAACGAUCACUAUAAAUGUCUGUUUCACCCCGAUCCUAUAAUAGUUUAGUCUUAUCCUUACGCACAAUGAGUAUCUCAUAAUAAAUGUCUACCAUAUAAUCUCUCUAUUCUUAAUCUCAGUCAGGGUCCUUUUUAAUUUGUGGGUGUGUGUCUCUGUAUAUGUAAAAUUAUAUAGAGGUAGUGGUGUCUAGCACACCUUUUCUUCAAAUGACUGGGAAGAGUUUUCAUUGUUUUCUUGCAGGUCAUUUUCUUUUAACAAAUCUUCUGUUGGAGACUUUGAAAAGCACUGCAAAACAAAGUAACAUAGAAGGGAGAAUUGUCAAUGUGUCAUCUGAAGCUCACCGAUUUCCAUACAAAGAAGGAAUUCGUUUUGAUAAAAUCAAUGAUAAAGCAGAGUAUGUUGCUUCAAAGCAACUAUAUGUGUUUUCUUACUUGAUGUUUCUUUUUCUACACCCAAGUUAAUCUUUCUUAACUUUUUUCUUUGAAUUGACAACUUACAGAUACAGCACUGUAUAUGCGUACGGCCAGUCCAAGCUUGCUAAUGUAUUGCAUGCCAAUGAACUUACAGGACGCUUAAAGGUAUUUGUUAUAUUUGGAAAUUUCACUACAGCAAAAAAUAGUUGGUGUAUGGGGUUGUCUGCUUCCUGUUUUUUUUGUGAUGUUCUUUUGGGAAUUAGUAAUCGUUUAGUUCAGUUUCUUGAAAGAGGAGGAAGACAGUACCAUAAAAAGUGGAAACUGGCAAUAUUGCAAACAUAAAAAGUGGAAAAUGGCAAUGGGUGUUGAUAUAAUCGUGAACUUUGUUUGAAGUUGAACAGAUUUUUUCGCAGUAGUACUAACAUGUAACAAUGCUUGUAGACUCAAAAAAACAACCCUAGCUUUUUCAUUGGGGAGCAUAACAGAUAAAAGAUAAUGAUAGAAACCCCUAAGAAAAUAUGAUGGCAUUGACCUUCUUUACCUGGUGCCUUGGCUAAGGCAAAUAAGACACUCACCUUGGUGUCCCCAUGGUAUUAUGGCCUUGCUCUCUAGCUCCAGGAGGUCCCUUAGCUAGCCUUGUUCUUUUUGGUCCUUACUUACCUGUCAUUUAAUCCAGCUUUUAUUUUAUAGACAUAAAUUGAACGUGUCAUUCCUUUGCAACAUAUUAUUUGCAUUCUCGGUAUCAAGCUGUGCAGCAUAUGUAAUAAUAGCAGUUGCUCUCUCUUAUUUUUACAGGAAGAUGGGGUACAGAUAACUGCUAAUUCACUUCAUCCUGGAUCUAUUAAUACAGACCUUCUGCGGCAUCAUAGUAUUAUUAAUGGUAAAUCACUGAUCUAGCAUUGGAUUAUAGAGAAUGUCAUGCACCAAGCUAUAAUGGUAGAACCUUAAACCCUACACUCUAAACCCUGAUUUCCUUUUCAUAACAAUUGUACCUGAACCAUUUGUUAAAUAUCAUUUGUGCUACUUUUCACCAUGUCGCGGUCCACAUAGAUUGGAAGAUGGGUCAGCGGCACAUUUUGUUUAAUUUUCAUGAUCUAUCAGUCCAACAACAACCAGAUUGGAAUGUGAUUAUUCUUCCCAGUUCUUCCAUGCACUGGGAAACUACAAUUACUUCAGCAUAUUAGCCGUACUCAUUAUAUGCAGCGUUUCCAUUUCGCCAAUUAUAUUUGUAUAUGUUUGUUAGAAGGAUCAAAUUUUUGCUUAUUUAUUAAAUAUUUCUUGCGAUCUUUAGAAUCGAGUCCUGCCUACGUGUCACAACCCAUGUGAGGAGGAAAAAAAAAUUGCAAUCUAAUUAGAAAUUUUUUUCGCACAGAAAAGUAAACAAAGUUCUACUGUGACUCAAUGUGGCUAUUCCAACAUGAAGUCUUUGGGCCUCUUACUCAAUAAUACGUAUGCCAAAACUCCUUUAUGUGAUCUGUCACAAGACUACUAUGUCAAUUCAGUUCUUGAAGUCAUACAAGAACUGCUGACUGCUAUAUGUACUCAAAAUGUGUGGUCUUUGUUAAUAAAGCAAGACUAUAUAAAUAUUCAAUUUACAGCUUCCCAGAUGUUCAUUUACCACUUCUAAUUUCUGUUAUACAUAUAUUGGAAAUACCUUGGUUUGAAUUUUAUGUUAUAUAUUCUAAAAAUUAAAACUAAAAUUAACAUGUAUUUAAUUCUAUUUUAAAUUCCGUGGCUUAUACAGGGAUCGUCAAGGCAGUUGGCAAAUAUUUACUCAAAAAUGUUGAACAGGUAAAUUUUCAAUUUUAAAUAAAUUUGAAAUGUAAUUUGACUUCUAGAGCUCAGUAUAUUUACUUUUUUCUGGUUUGACAUGGUUGUAGGGUGCGGCAACAACAUGCUACGUGGCCUUGCAUCCACAGGUCAAGGGUGUAAGCGGUGAAUAUUUUUCAGACAGCAACGUUGGAAAGCCGAGCACACUAGCUAAAGAUACAGAGCUAGCAAAGAAACUAUGGGAAUUCAGUAUGAGCUUGAUCAAUUGAUUUUGUAAUAUAAAGAUUACACCGAAACUAGGGCGUCUUUUCCAGGAGGAAAAAAAUACAUAUCACGGUGAUUAUCCACAACACACUUGUUUGGAUUGUAAAACUUAUUUCAUGUUUCAGAUUUAGUAAGUUUAACAUUUCCUGAUACUGUAAACCAUAUAUUUUUUUUUAAGUGAAGCCUCAAAUCUAUGUGCACAUUGCUAGCAGUUCACAUGGAUCUACCAUAUUAUUUGAUAAGUUUGCUUGGUGGCAAUUAAUUUGAGUUGGGUCUGAGUGCCCAAGAACUUCUUAGAUUGGUUACGGAUAAGACCUGAACCUGAUUCAAUCUGCCCAUAGAGUGACUAAUACAGUUUAUGAGAAACACAUGGUGUUCAUCUACAUCUCUCCUCACCCGAUUCAGUAAUCGGUAAACCGGCAUCCAGAUCAAAACCGUCAAUCAAGCAUUUGACAGUUGAGAGUUAGAAAAGUGUGAGAUAACAAAUGGUUAAAUGGCUAGGUGGAGAUAAAGACUAGGUGGAGCUUGAUUAAGAGUAAGUUCUCCUUCCUACUAGUUUCUGCAGACAAGGCUUCGAAACAGGCUUUACAAGAGUCUGAUCAAGUCUUAAAGCUGGUGAGGGGUAGAUAUGUUACCACCCAACCCACUCAGUUUUGUUCUCUGAGUUUUUUAUAAUACAACUUAAUUAGCAAAAAAAAAAAAAAAUGAUUAAAGGGCCAUCAAACGUCAUCAUCAUGGGUGAAGCCCAUGCCCAUGACCAUGGACCGGAAUUGCUUUCAUCGACUGCCCCUUUGGGUUUAUAUUUUGGACUUUAAUUAUGGGCUUAACUACGCUUUGAGCUUUAGUUGGUUUAAUAAGAUGGCAUUUAUCAAAUAAUAUUUUUUAAGAUCUUAGAGCCACGUGUAAAUAUCUCAGCGGAGUGAGAAGCAUGGUGAGCAAAAAGGUAGUGAGCAAAAGAUUUCUCGGUUAUCACAGUCAACGGCGGCUGUUGUCUUGUUUGUCUUUAUGCAGAUAGCAUAAAGACAAACACUCCUAAUUUUAACCAUUUAAUUAAAAUUAAUUUUAAUUUUAAUUUACCUCUUAUGAUUGCAAUAAAGAUUGCAAUAAAUUAAUUUUAAUUUACCUCUUAUGAUUGCAAUAAAGAUUGCAAUAGACUUAAGAUCAAACAGUUUUAAUUUGGUUCAAUGCUACUCUUACUGAGGAACUUCUACCGUAUGUUGUUGGUAUUAAUUCUGCAAGGGAGUUAUGGAUCAAUCUUGAGAAAAGGUUUUCGAAUCUGUCAAGGUCUCAUGUUAUUCAACUCAAAUCGAAACUUCAAUGUCUGAAGAAAGGACAGUUUACUAUUGAUGAGUACUUCCAUCAACUUAAACAACUUGCUGAUAGUCUCGCUGCCUCUGGUUCACCUGUUAGUGAUGAAGAUCUUGUUGUUUAUGUGUUAAAUGGUCUACCGGAUGAUUAUAGUGCAUUCGCGACUUCAAUUCGUGUCAGAACUGAUCCUGUGUCUACUGAUGAGCUACACAAUUUGUUGUUGUCUGAAGAACUUGCAAUAGACUUAAGAGGUAAAACAAUUCUGGCUUCUUCUUCUGAAUCAACAGUUCAAGCCUUUAGUUCUAUUCAUUCUUCUUCCACAUUUCAAGAUUCAAGUACCUCUGGAAGUUCUGGUUCAAAUUACCAUGGCAGAAAUCAUGGCAAAGGAGGUUCAAGUAUUAGAGGAAGAAGACGAGGUCGUUCCGGUGGAAGAAAUUCUAAUGGAUAUUUAUCUUGUCAAAUCUGUCAUAAGAAUGGACACCAAGCUAUUGACUGUUGGUACAGAAUGAAUCACUCAUAUGCAGGCAGGGUUCCCCCUUCUAAACUAGCUAUGAUGGCUCAGGGUGUAAUUCCUACAGGUUCUAUAUCAGCUACUUCUGAUAAAGAUUGGUAUGCUGAUAGUGGGGCUACAAAUCAUCUUACCCCUGAUUUAGCCAACCUACAUACUCACACUGAUUACAAGGGUCCCGAUAAGGUUGUUGUUGGAAAUGGCCAAGGUGUGUCUAUUUUUAAAACUGGUUCAUCUUUACUUCGAACACCAUACACCUCUUUUCUUUUAAGAAAUGUUUUACACACACCUCAAAUAUCAAAUAAUUUGCUUUCAGUCCAUAAAUUUGCUACUGAUAAUGAUUGUAGCAUUACAUUCACAUCGUCUUAUUUCUAUGUGAAGGACAAUGGCUCAAAGAAGAUACUUUUCCACGGACCGAGUGAAAAUGGCCUUUAUCCGUUCAGAAUUCUUUCCAACUGUAAAUAUCGCCCAAAAGCUUUUCUUCAUACAAAAGUGUCUCCACAUCUUUGGCACAAAAGAUUAGGUCAUCCUUCUUCUUCUAUUUUACAAAAAAAUUCUUCAUCAUAAUAACUUUCAAACUCCCAUUCCUAAAGAUUUUUGUUGUCCUUAUUGUCCUCUAGGCAAAAGCACAAAGUUACCUUUCGUAGCUAGUACCACAGAAGUGUCAGGUCCAUUAGAUAUUGUGUAUGCUGAUCUUUGGGGUCCUUGUCAUGUCAAGUCCAUUAGUGGUUAUCAAUACUACCUAAGUAUAGUUGAUCAUUGGAGUCGGUUUAUCUGGUUCUUUCCUCUUGUUGCAAAGUCAGAUACUUUAGACCAUUUCAUGACUUUUAAAAUGUCUGUCGAAAAUACAUUCAAUCGGAAAAUAAAAGUUCUGAGGUCUGACAAUGGUGGGGAAUUUACAAGUGAGAAGUUUGAAUAUUUUCUCAAAACCAAUGGUAUUUCCCAUCAGUUUACUUGUCCUCAUACAAGUGAGCAAAAUGGAGUCGUAGAAAGGCGACAUAGACAAAUUUUGGAUGUUGGAAGAACUCUUAUUGCUCAGUCCAGUAUUCCUUCAAUCUAUUGGGUGAAUGUCCUAUAUACAUCAGUCUUUCUCAUAAACAGGUUACCUUCUUCAGUUUUGUCCUUUAUGUCUCCAUUUGAAGCUGUUGUCUUGUUUGUCUUUAUGCAGAUUGCAUAAAGACAAACACUCCUAAUUUUAACCGUUUAAUUAAAAUUAAUUUUAAUUUUAAUUUACCUCUUAUGAUUGCAAUAAAGAUUGCAAUAAAGAUUGCAAUCUGCAUAAAUUAAUCUUUAUGCAAAUUGCAUAAAGACAAACACUCCUAAUUUUAUGCAGAUUGUCUACUACUUAAUUUUAACCGUUGGAUUGACGAACUAUUUUGCUUCGAGAUACUACACACUCCACUUAGAUUAGAGGAUUUGGAGUAAAACAAACCGAUUAGUGUCAGUGAUGUGGUUAUUUAGCAAAAAGGGUCCACCGCCAUCAGCAUCUGGUUUCUCAUCUUCAUCAACAGCAGAGGAAGUUACACAUGGAAUUAAUGGAAAUGGUCUUACUGCUAUCGUCACUGGUGAAACAUUUAAACUAUAAGAGCAUUCCCAAUGGUAGGUUUUAGCACACUUUUAGUUAACUUUUAGUAAAAACACUUGCCAAUGGUAGCUUUUAACACACUUUUCAAGCAAAACACUUUUAACUCCUUGGCAAAUUUGCCAAGGAGUUAAAAGUGCCACGUAGGAAUCCAUCCGCCACAAUUAGUGCGGUAUGGAUCCAUACCUCACAAUAAGUGCGGUAUGGAUCCAUACCCCACAAUUAAUGCGGUAUGGACUCAACUAAAAGAAGAUCCAUCCGCCACAAUGAGUGCGGUAUGGAUCCAUACCCCACAUAGAUUGCGGUUUCAAUAAUCCACCAUUGGAAACACUAAAACCUUUUUUUCGCUAAAACCAUUGAAAACCCCAAAAUUCCUUAAAACCAUCCUAUGUGGCACCACUAAAAGUGUUUUACCAUUGGGAAUGCUCUAACCUAAGUAGGAAGUGAUUAACCCUAAUGGAAAAGAGCAAAUUUUAACACAUAAGUUUUUGUUCUUUUCAACAAGUCAACCAAAAUUUUAUAUCUUUUCAACCAUGACUUUCAGUAAGAUUGUUUUUUUCAUAAAAAAAAAGGGUUAGACUCAAAAGAAAUUGUUUUUUUCAUAAAAAAAAAAUAUGAUUGGUGUCUUUCUCAAAAGUUACUGGGAAAAAAAAAAUACUUUUAAAAUUUUAUUAAAGCUUUACAUAAAAUUAAUUAUUUAAAUUUUGCAAUAAUUUUUUUGUGAAGAGGGGGAGGACACUUUAUUGAACAGUUGAAUAGUUGAAUUAUGUAGUAAAAUAUUGUGAGAUAAUGUCGAGUGGUGACGGCACAUUAAUUUGAGUUUUGUAUAGUAGUGAACUAGUGAAUGAUGUAGUAGACUAGUAGUAUACUUUUAGUUUGACAAACUCAACUCUGCACUACAAGUCUAAAAGAUAAGGUUUUGGUGAACAAAUUUUUCGCUUGUUUGAGAUUAUACGAAAGGAAAAGUUUGCUUGAAUGAAAGCAUGCUUUCAGGUAUGUCCACUUGAAAGCAAAAGUUCAGUUUGAAGGAACUUAACGUCAAAGUUAGAUUAAACCAAGACAGUGAAGAUAGAUUUACUGAUUGAGCAAUUCAGCUAGUGUAGAUCGAUUGAUCAUUGAUAUAGAAAGUAAGCCAUGAGGAUAUAAUUCUGAAAAGAAAAAUGCAAAUAUAGAAAGAAAUAAAUAAUCUUCAUCAUGGCUCAAAAACACCAUACAAAGCCCCAGAUAAUAAUUUACAUACACAAUAAUCACUUGAUGCACAUGGCUAACAUUCAAUUGAAAUUAAAGAAAAAAGACAACAAGCUGAACAAAGAACUUCACCCUCCAAGGGCCAUGAUUUGAUUGAUAGGCUUGGCUGGCUAUUUAAGAUCUAGCCUUGAAUGGAAUGGCCCUGAUGACUACUGUGUGGUACACUGCAGCAAGAGCAGCUCCAAUGAAUGGUCCAACCCAGAAAACCCACUGCAACAAACAAUCAAACAAGCAGAUCAGAAUUUGCAUCAACUAGUUUGAGUUUAAUCUGAUUUUCUGACAGAAAAUUAAAUGAGACUUACAUGAUCAUCCCAUGCAUGAUCUUUGUUGUAGAUAAUUGCAGCUCCAAGACUUCUUGCUGGGUUAAUACCAGUUCCUGUGAUUGGAAUGGUAGCCAAGUGCACCAAGAACACUGCAAAUCCAAUUGGAAGUGGUGCCAAAAUCUACCAAAAAAAGCAAAAACAAAUAAAACAUCAGUUAAGAUUAAAAAUAAAUUUGGAAAAAAGUAACAGAAGUUGGACAUGCUGUGCCUGUUAUAACGGAAUCUUUUAAAGUUUAGUAAGUGUUAGACCCACUGAACUGUGGCCAUCAUUGUUAUUAGGGUUGUUGGACAUAUCACAUAUGGAUUGGAUGACUGACUUUACUUUAACUUUACUUUUUAUCAUCUUCCAGAGACCACCACUAAUAUGAUUUAACACAAAGAAAGGUAAAAAUUCUCUUGGGGACCUUUAUCAGAGUCUUUUUUAAGUACAGGUGGCAUGAUCUAAAUGGCCAGUUCACUUCAACAAAGAAGAAAACAAAACCACAUACAAGAAGAAAGAGAGAGAGAGAGAGAGAGAGAAAAUCUGGUGUCUAACCAAUAUUCAACAAUAUCUUCAUGAAAUCCUACUAAGAAAUUAAGA